rnacentral:lncRNA from 1 species
UUGAAGAGAAAGGCAUCUGCCGGAGGGAUAAACCGAAGCAUGUCACCUGCUAUGUAUUUCAAGUUGUCGGCCUCAGGCAGGUUAGCAACAGCAUGCGGGAGGUCGAGUACAGUGCAUUUGAUGCCGGGGAAUGCUUCGGAGAUGAUUCUGGAAAACGAUCCGUUGCCACCUCCUACGUCAACCAAUGAGCCCAACCCUUCAAAGAUUUGCUUACACUCGGAUUUGACAACAAAGCUUGUCAUUAUUUCAGAAUCACUGGCCAUUGCUUCAUUGAACCGCUGGUUUAUUGCGGGGUUUUGAUUCAUAAAUUCCCAGAACUUGAUUCCAUGAACAGUUUCCCACAACGUGAGCUCAGUCCCUUUGAACCAACUACUUAAAGACUGAAAUGGAGCGACAAAAAAUGGGUCAACAAAUACUGAAACAGUUGGUGACAAAACAGUAGGGCUUAUCUUGUAUGAGCAGAGUAGAAGCAGCUGUGAGCCCGUAUGCUUCUUCUUGCCCAUUGACUUUGGUUUUUUUAAAGCAGCCCGAGUGAACUAACAAGCGCAUGAGCCUGAAUAAACCAGUCGUUUUUGUAGGCUGAAUAUCAAGCGCCGAGACCAACUCAGAAAGAGUGAUGGCCCGUCCGUGGCUGUGAAUUAUAUCCGCUAUGCCUAGCUUGGCCUUGAGCUAUAUCGCGCACUUUAGUGACAUCGAGCUUCAAUGAUUAAACAUGAGCUUAUAAAGUUGAGCUUGGCCUUGAAACAACUCUAUUGCUCCUUGAUCUUGAUUCGCAUCCAUUGAUACUGAUGAUCAACUAAAUUAAGCUUGCCUGAUUGAUCACCCACUCAGGGCCGGCUUUAAAGUAUAUGGGGCCUUAGGCAAAAAUUUUUUGUGGGGCCUUUUUUUAUUUUACAAUUUUAAUACUCGAAGAAAUAUAAAAGACUAAAAAAUUCAUUUGGCUUUUAACUCUUAAAUUUUAAUAGUAAUAAAAAAAAUCUUAAAAAUUUUCAAAAACCAAACCUAAAAAAAUAACCAAGAAGAUAUCUUUUUUACUUCCAUUAAAAUUAUUACAAAAAUAAACAAACAAAUAAAUAAAAACAAUAUUAUUUUCAAAUAGAAUAUUUAGAAUAGCAGAAAGUUGAGAUAAUUAAUUGAUUAUGAAAUAAUAGAUAUGCACUUUAUAUUUUAAGAAACUAAUUUUUCUUUUUUUCAUGAAUUAAUGAAUGUAAUAAUUCUCUUUGUAAAAAAAAAAGAGAGCAAGAAAUCUAUUUAUUUAUUGAUUUUUAUAUUAGAUUACAAGGUUUUAAUGGAAAUUCAAAGGAAUAUUAAAAGUCAAAGAAUUUAAUUUUUUUAGGAAACUUAAAAGGUCAAAAAUUAAAUUUUUUUUAUAGAAAAACUAAUAAUGAAUGAAUUAAUAGCUAAACAAUUUUAUUAAUUAUAUCUUUUGAACAUUAAGGUUGCCAAAUAUUGAUUUUCUAUAAAAAAAAAUAAUAUUUCUUAGUUGUGGUAUAAUUGUUAAUUAUAAAGAUGUCUAAUAGGCUUCUCUACAAUACAUAAUUUUUUUAAAAAAAUGAUCUUUAUUAAUUAAAGAACUAUUAAGAAAUACAAAAAAAAAAUGAGGCCUUAAAAAAAUAUAGGGCCUUAGGCAAUCGCCUUGUUCGCUUAUACUUAAAGCCACCCCUGCACCCACUAUAAUAGAGAAGCACAUUAUAUAAAAUCACGCUUGCUCGCAAAUGUGGACUAACUGUAUGCAAGCAUUUUGACUCCUCAUAUGAAUAGUUGCAAAUGCGAUUAGUUAUAAUCUAACAAGUUACAAUCUAACAACAUUGUUAACUUUGAUUUCGUAAUGACGCAUGCCCAUGAGAAAAGGAUAGUAAGAUAUAUUUACUGAUCAAUGAUUCAAUUAUUAUAACACCGUGAUUGGCAGGGUGUGAUAUAUAUUCAGGCACAUUUUAUAUAUUCAAUGUGCUGGUCUGUUUAUCAAAUUUUUAAGACAUUCAUUUGAGUCAAAAUAAUUGCACUCGGAGUACGGAGGUAGAGUUUUCAAUUAAUUUUAUUUUGUUGGCUAUUCAAAUUUAAAUUUGACAAAAGUUAGAGAGCUAAAAGAUUAAUUUGAAAUCAUUUAUCUCUCUAUCUUUUAAAAAAUAAAAUUCGAAAAGGUGGCAGAGAUUUUUCACAUCAAUAUUUUACCAUUUAUUCAUCGGUUGGCUGACAAUACCAAUGUAUAAGAAAAAAAAAAGAUGGUAUAAAAAAUAGUAUGCAAUCACUAUAAAAAAUAAAAAAUUUCAUUACAAGAAAAGAAUUCACCACUACACAAGAAUUUUUUAAUUUUUUUUAUGCUUUUGUAUUAAAAUUUGUGCUAUUUUAAAUACAUGCAGCGUUAUUCAUUCACUAAACGCAUAUAAAAUUUCCAAAUUAACCAUCUUUAUUAAAAAUUAUCUCCAAAUUCUUUCUACUGCCAACACUUAGCCAGCACUGUUCUUAUUGCAAACUAUAGUUUAUCUUUUGACAGUUUCAAAAAGAUAAGAAAAGAUAAGAAAUUUAUAGCUUGUGCCCACCAAAAUCUCUUAUUCCAUGGAGUUGUUGAAAUUUUGACUUGAAUAGAAAAGAUAAAGUUAGGUUUUGAAAGCAGGAAAAGGUUUAAAAAUCUUGUUCAUGCAAUUUGUGAUGCUGAAAAUUGAAGAUGGCAACAAAUUACACAUGCAAUUGUUGACAAAUAUGCAUGACUUUAAUGCAUGCAAUGCAAGUUCCAGCUCAACGUUUUGGUCAAUUGAACCCAACUUGGUGCAAAAUGUUCUCUAUAAAUAGAGAAGCAUUUUGCAAUUGUAAGCAUCCCAAUUUAAGAGAAGUAGAGAGUAAUUGCAAGUGAAGCGAUUUUAGAGAUUUGAGAGAGUUUCCACUUGAGUGUUCUAGUGAGUUUCCAUUUGAGUGUAUUGGGGUUUGGGGUGUUGAGAGUUUCUCCCACUUUUGUAAAUUCUCAUCAUUAGUAGAAUUAUCUUCCAGUAUUUGCCCAUAGACGUAGGCCUUACGCCGAACCACGUAAAUUAUUGUGUCAUAUUUUCUUUAUAUUUGUUUACGCCACAUUUAUAUUUCUCCAGAAGUUGCAGCUACCAGAAUAUUAGUAAUUGCUCAACCUCACAUUUCCGCUGCAGGAGUUAAUAUUGAACACGAAGAAUUUUUCAUUAAAUUUUGUGCUAUUUUAUAUACAUGCAGCCUUUUUCGUUCACUAAACGUAUAUGAAAAUUUCCAAAUUAGGCAUCUUCAUUAAAAUUUAUGUAUGAGUUCUUUCUACCGACAAAACUCAACCUACAUUGUUCUUGUUGCAAACUAUAGUCUAUCUUUUGAUAGCUUCAAAAAGAUAAGUGUUGAUAUCCGUACAUAUUCAACAUACAGUUAAUAGGAUAUCUGUAACAUAUGUAGAAAUUAAAAAUGAAAAUGAGGCGGUUAAGGAUUUUAUAAGUAAAAGGAAAGAGUUGGAAACAGGUUAAACACAUGCACGUGUGAGAGAGUGAAGGGAAGCUGCAAAACCGACCCAACUACAAACCCGAAAACCCGACCCGAAACCCGCGACCUUGACCCGGUCGUAACUUCCAUUUCCAGCCACCGUUCCAGUCAAGUUUGGUACCAAUCUGAAGAUUGAAGACCGUCCAUCAUACCCAUGCCGUCCACGUCGCCGAAAAACAACCAGAAUGCCAGCGACCAAAGCUUGAAAACCCGUGACUUUUCCACUUUGCUCCGCCGGGACUUUUGCCGAUUUUGGAUGACACCACUGGUUAGAUUUUGUUCCCCACGACUCCCUCUUCCAUUUCCGACCAUCCACAGUCACUGGGAGUCAUUGUUUCGCCGCCGACCAAUUGUUGGAAAUUCACGGCUGUUGAGCUAGAUUCCGGCAUUGUUGCCGCGCAUUGGAGCUCACCGCCGGUGCCAUUGAACUCAGCUUGGCCAAAAGUGUCUAACCCAUGCUUCCCGGCCAGUGUUGACCAAAUUUUGGUGACCGUUGACCGGCAAGGGCAUUUCGGUAAUUUCACACUCCGAGGAAAAUUUUGUAAUUUCUGAGCCCGUAGAUAUUUUAGUAAUUCCUAGAAUUGAGGAUUGGGUGUAAUUAUGAUUCUAAGGGUAAUUCAAUGAUUUACGAUUUUGGAAUAUUUUAAUGAUUUACGGAUUCGAGGGCAUUUUAGUAAUUUUAUCGACACGGGAGUUGUAAAUUAUGGAUAGAUGUUUGUUUCGAGUGUAUUGCAUAAAUUUAGUCAUAACUCCGAUUUAAGGAAAAUAAUUAAUUUUGUCGUUUCCUUGAUUUAGGAGGAUCCGCGAGUAAGAACCGGUUCGUGGAUGUGGACGAUAACCGAGCGUGAACAUCGUCACUGUGAGUGGAAUAUACAAAACUUAUUUUCAUAGCUAAUUAUAAUAGUAAAGCAUGUUUGCAAAAUAAGUAGUUUAAAUGUUCUGAUUUAAUAAUUAGUUUAAAUGUUCUGAUUUAAUAAUUAGUUUAAAUGUUCUGAUUUAAUAAUUUCCUCGAAAUAGAUUUUAUUCACGCAUUGGUAUUUUAUUAAAAUAUUUGGUUAAUGAUUUUGCGUAUCAACUUUCAAUAAGCAUGAUAAUAAUUUAAAGAUAAGAAAAGUGGAUUUAAUUGUGGUAUGAUUUAAAAUAUGGUUAAAAGGUAUGUGAAUAUGAGUAUAGAGAUUGUUUUUAAAUUAUUAGACAAUAUCCUUCCCUCCAGAUACAGUGAUACAGAUGAGAUGAGAUGAGAUGAAAGGCCUUUGGGGCCUGUCUAAACAACAUAGAGGCUUUGGGCCAUGUGUUUGGGCGCUCUUGCAUUUUGGGGGCAUAUGUAUGCGGUAUAAUGAUUACAGAGAUACAGCUAUGAGACAAAGACAAAUAUUGAGAUACAAAUGAUACAGAUGAGAUACAAGUCUUUGGGGCCCAUCUGAGUACACACAAAGGCUUUGGGCCGUGUGCUUGGGCACUUUUGUCCUUUGGGGACUAGAUUAUGCAUGCACAUAUAUGAUGAGAUAUGAUGAGAUAUGAGAUGGUAUUUCCAUGUCUAUCCGUGUAGCUCCAGGGCGUGACGGUACCCAAAUAGUACGUCAUUGCCCGUCCGUUGAGGUCCGGAUAUGACGAGAUUAUUUCCCUGGGUAUUUGUUUGGUGAUGAUUUUCAGAUUUGUAUAUUCUAUAUGAUAUUGUGAUAUGAUUUCCAUGGUUAUUUAGUACGAUAAUAUAUAUGAUUUUCAUGGUUAGUAAUCUGGUAUAAAUGUUAAAUGAUUUACUAUUGGUUUCUUACAUAUGGUUUGAUGAAAUCGUGUUAGGAAAUAAUAUGAUUAUUUCUUUUAAAGUAAGAAUUAAUUUUCAAAAACUACUAUCCACUCACUGAUCUCAUUGAGUUUUAAACUCACCUCGUUUUUAUUAUAUUUCCCCCUCCCCCCACCAGGAGGUUGCAGGUACACCAGACCAACCCAUCGAUUGUAAAUAUAUUUUGAGUCUUGGCCACAUGAUGGUGUUAGAAUAUAUAGAUAUUUUUGUUAGGACAUCUUGGUUAUCUCGUCCUGUUGGGAUUGUAUAAUUUUGUUAUAUUAUUCUUUUGGGAUUAAGAAUAAACUAAGAUAUUAAUAUUAGUUAUAAUAUUAUCUUUUGAGACCCUAGAGAUAUAAAACUCAGCAUUUUGGUUGAGGAUGUUGAUCACUGGAGUUUGUUGUAUAUUGAAUUAUAUUGGGAGUGCUUGUCUUACAUAUUUGUAGAUUGGGAGUGUUAUAUAUAUAAAGGAAACUUUGCCGAUGUUUUGGAAAAAUCCUCACUAAUUAGAUUAUUAUCAAUCUAGUUUGGAUGAGGUUAGAUUGACUCGCCCGGGGGGAUUCGGGGCGGGUCGUUUCAAUAUCCAAAAGCAUACAUUUUGAUCCUUGAAUGCAGAAGCAUAUCACAAUAAGUUAUAUCACUGUCAAGUUGAUUAGAGACAAGGAUAAUCUCAAAGAAAACCAUCACGCUACUGUAUGUUUAUGUCGGAGGAUAAUUAUAAUAAAAGAAAAUCCCCUCAUAUCACAUUGCCAGAGCCCACUGCCAUUUUCUCUCGUUUUCAAUCCUUGUGUUUUCUAAUAUCUUCUUCAUAUUUUUCAUAUCUAUCACACCCUUAUCACAUGACACGGCUUGCCCCGACUUAUAUGUCAGAUCCGAGGCGAAUCAUACGAUCUAAUAACUAAAACUCGUGGCACAAAUUUAAUUCAUGAAUAUAUAAAAAUGGUCUCCACUAUAAACACAUAACAACCUCUAUACCUCAUCCAAAAAUAUAUAUUCAAAACUUGCACAGUUCAUAUCUCACUAUAUAUACUUACCCUACAAAUAUAUAUACAUAAGAACAUAAGUAAUAUAAACAUGCUCAAAAUGCAAGUCAUGAGGCAAUACAUCUCGUGGCCCAACUUUAAUUGACUAGAAUUGAUCAGCACAAAAUCUUGCGAAAUCCUGGCAAAAAAGGGAUAAAUAGGAAAAUAAUGAGCUUGCAGCCAUAUAUAAUAAUAAUAAUAAUAAUAAUAAUAAUAAUAAUAAUAAUAAUAAUAAAGUAAUGCAUCUGUAAACAUGGGAAAUAAUACAUACAUGACAAAACUGUACCAAAUAAUACCCAGGGAAAUAACUCUCAAUACUUACUGGGAUCAUCAUCGCAUGAGUAGAGCUGGGCAAAAACCUCUCAAUACCCGAUGGAAUUUAACUACAUCGUAUGGGUAGAGUAGCCUAACUCUCAAUAUGCAUGCACAGAGUUUAUAGGGAAAGACACAUAUAUGGUGAUUGGCAAUCACAUUUUAUGACUUAAUCAAACAUAUAAUAUUUGUACAUGUAAUCAUAACAUUAUAUUAAAUCAUACUACCAAACAUAAAUGCUUCAUGGAAUACAUAAUUGUAAUAAUAGUAUCCCUACAAAGCUUAUUUCACUAAGGGUUCAUUGGGGCUCCUGUGGGCUCUUAGAUUCUUGAAUUUCUCCUAAAAUACAUGAUUCAAAAUUAAUUGUUAGAACUAAUAUAAAAACUUAUACGUAUAAGGCAAAUUAAAUCAUAACUACUUAAAUUUCAUAAAUCUAUUACCCACUAACUUAUUUAAUGUAAAUCUAACUAUCUAAUUCUAUUUCCCCUAAUAUUUUUUCUCCUUUUCCUUUCUUUUUCUCUUUUCCCACAUUCGGCUUCUUUCUUAUUUUCUUUUUCUUCUCUUUUCUCUUUUCCACUUUCUUAUUUCUCUUCCAUUUUCCUUUGUUUGCUCUCGGUUCUCAAAUUUGGUAUAUGAAGCAACUGUUAAAUUUUUUUGCAUUUUAUAUAGCCACCGAACGACCAUUAAAUGUAAGCAAGCAGCUCUCAAUUUUUAAAUAUAUAUAAGCAUAGCUUGAAGAAAUCAAGCAUAUAGCUGGCUGCUUCUGAAUCAUUACACGUGUGCAGAAUCAUACACAUCUAUUUUAGAUACAAUAGGUAUGUUUAUAUGGGAGCUAAUAAGAGUGAUUGAGGUCAAUCAAAAGACUUCAUAACUCUCAAAGUCUAAUUGGACUUGGAAUUGUCAGAUGUCUAUUCUUUCUGAUAUGGUAGAACAAACUUUAGAAGUCUUCAUGGAUGACUUUUCAGUUUUUGAAGAGACAUAUAAUGAUUGUUUACACAACUUGAAAGAAGUUCUUAAAAGACGUGAGAUGACUAACUUAGUACUCAAUUGGGAAAAAUGUCAUUUCAUGGUGCAAGAGGGCAUAAUGUUGGGUCAUAAGGUGUCCAAGAAUGGCAUUGGUAGACAAAGCCAAGAUAGAAGUAAUAGAUAAACCACCUCCUACUUCAAUUAAGGGUAUUAGGAGUUUUUUGGGUCAUGUUGGAUUUUACAGAAGAUUCAUUAAGGAUUUUUCCAAGGUAGCUAAACCAUUAUGCUCAUUGCUGGAACAUGACAAGCCCUUUCACUUUUAUAAAGACUGUCUUCAAGCCUUUGGAGAAUUAAAGAAAUCUUUGAUCACUGCACCAGUGGUUAUAUCACCAGAUUGGACUCUACCAUCUGAACUGAUGUGUGAUGCCAGUGACCAUUCUGUUGGAGCAGUAUUAGGGUAGAGAAAUGAUAAGAUUUUUCACUCCAUAUACUAUGCAAGCAAAACUCUUACUCAAACUCAAAUUAAUUACACCACUACAGAGAAAGAGUUACUAGCAGUAGUAUUUGCUUUUGAUAAAUUCAGAGCUUACUUGGUGAGUACUAAAGUGACUGUAUACACAGAUCAUGCAGCCAUCAAGUACUUAAUUUCAAAGAAGUAUGCCAAACCAAGAUUAAUCAGAUGGAUCUUAUUGCCUUAGGAGUUUGAUCUCGAAAUUAAAGAUAGAAAGGGGACUGAGAAUCAAGUAGCAGACCACCUGUCAAGGCUGGAAGCAGACACAAGUACAUUGACAAGAAAGGACAUCACUGAAACUUUUCCUGAUGAUAGCUGUUAGUAGUACAGCAAGCAGAUGCUGCAGCACUCAGGAUCUUCAUGGUAUGCAGAUUUUGCUAAAUACUUAGUAAGUGAGUUGCUACCACCUGAGUUGAUGUUUCAAGAGAAAAGAAAAUUUCUUCAUGAUGUUAGAAGCUACUAGUGGGAUGAACCAUAUUUAUAUAAGUUAUGUUCGGAUCAAGUAAUACGAAGAUGUGCUUUAGAGGGAGAGAUUCCCCACAUACUGGAGUCAUGCCAUGCUGCAGCAUAUGGAGGACAUUUUGGUGGUCACAGAACAGCUGCUAAAGUUCUGUAAUCAGGUUAUUACUGGCCUUCUAUUUUUAAAUAUGCUUAUGAAUUUGCUAAAUAUUGUGACAGGUGUCAAAGGACAGGGAACAUAACUAAAAGACAUGAAAUGUCAUUGACAAACUUUCUGGAAGUGGAAGUUUUUGAUGUAUAGGGAAUAGAUUUCAUAGGACCUUUUCCACUAUCCUUUGGGAACUUAUAUAUCAUUGUUGCUGUGGAUUAUGUCUCUAAGUAGGUAGAAGCUGCAACAUUACCUACCAAUGAUGCUAAAACAGUAGUGGCCUUUCUUCAGAAAAUUUUUUUUUUCAGGUUUGGCACUCCUAGAGCAAUUAUUAGCGAUGAAGGUACUCAUUUUUCCAACAAAGUAUUUGUUGCAGCUAUUGUAAAAUAUGGAGUCAGGCAUAAAGUAGCAAUAGCAUAUCACCCACAAUCUAAUGGUCAUGCAGAAGUGUCCAAUAGAGAAAUUAAGAAGAUCUUAGAAAAAGUGGUGAACCCAUCAAGAAAGGAUUGGUCCUUGAGGUUACAUGACUCCCUAUGGGCCUACAGAAUAGCAUACAAAACACCACUUGGCAUGUCUCCCUACCAAAUUGUUUAUGGGAAGGCUUGUCACUUGCCACUUGAGCUAGAGCAUAAAGUACAUUGGGCACUGAAGCAAUUAAAUUGGGAUAUACAUGCUGCAGUAGAGCAAAGGAAGCUUCAACUUUGUGAGCUUGAUGAAUUACGUCUAUUCUCAUAUGAAAAUACAAGAAUCUAUAAAGAGAUGACAAAACACUGGCACGACAAGCAUAUCCAAACUAGGAAAUUUAGCCCUGGUCAACUAGUGAUGCGCCAUAAUACAAGACUAAGAUUAUUUCUAGGAAAACUAAAAUCUCGAUGGUCUGGACCUUUUAAGCUGCUCAGAAUUUAUCCUCAUAGGGCUGUUGAUCUUCUAGAUGAACAAACAGGUCAAGAAUUUAAAGUUAAUGGACACAGGGUUAAGCAUUACAUACAGCCAGUGGCAGAUUGUUCAAAGGAGGUCUUACUCCUUAAAGAACCAAGUUAUUGAGCAAUCAAAGAAGGUUAGAAUGAAGGACCUUAAAUCAAGCGCUCAAUGAGAGGCAACCCAUUGUAGAGGCAGCCACUUCAAACUGAGCUUGAUCCUCUCUGGUUUUGUUGAAGGCUCAUCCUUUUAUUUUAUUUUAAUUUUGUUAUUCACUUCUGGCUAUUUAUUUUUAUCCUUUCGCAUUGUUGAACUCUUUACUUCUGUUAUCAUUCUAUAUCUUUAUUUUUAAUUUUUUAGAAUUGGCUUUAGUUAAUGUUAAAAAGUUUUUAAGGGAAGUAUGUGUGACAAAUGAAUUCCAUAUUGACAAUUGGGGUUGUAUUGUGACAGAGUACAGAGGCAAGCCACGUGUCAAAAGCUAUUGGAGUAGCAUAUGUAACCAUUGCUCGAGCAAACAAUUGGGUACUGCAGCGGCCAAUAUUACCGUUACAGUAAUUUAAAAUUGGAGCCUCUCACUUACCGUUGGAGAUAAAUCAUGACAAAUGGAUGCAUGGAUUUGGAUAGCAAUUGAGGAAGCAAAAAUCUCCGAAAUUAAUGCAUUAAUUUCUCUUGCCUAUUUUUAUGGGAUAUACUCAAUGAAUUCAAAAUAUUUUCUUCCCUAAUUUAUCUUUCUUUACCGAAUUUAUCUUCAAUUAAAUUCCACUAUAAAAGGGAAUUACUGUGCGUAGUGACCUACGACACUAUUUCCCCUCUCCCUCGCAAGCACGACUCCAAUAAUUCUUACCACCAUUUUCUCAUUUUACUCACAGGCCUAUUACCUUCGAAUUGUUACUGCUAUAGCAAUGCCAAGGUAUAAGAGAACAGCUAGCCGACUUAAAGAUCCUUCACGCUUCCAAAGUUACCACGUGUAAGAAAAAUAUGAAGAAUUCAUUGAACCGCGCAAGAUUCUGGAAGAAAAAGGGUUUCAAUUUCCAUCGCAAUCCACAGGAAUUGUGCAAACAGUACACAAUGCUACAGUAGUCAAAGAAUUUUACACCAAUUUGGUAAGCCCUAAUCAGUACAAUAUUUGGGUAAGAAAUACACUUGUUCCAUUAGACUCUCGAGUUAUAAAUGCUUUUUAUAAUUUACCUGCUGAAAUUAAUUGUGAGUAUGCCAAGUUGCUUGACAAAUUGACUCCAAAAAGAUGGAACACCAUCUUCACAACUCUUACAAUAGAGAAGGCAUCGUAGGCUAAUGAGGAAGGGCGUGUAAUUAAUAGGAUAGAUUUAAAAUCUAUUGCUAAGGUGUAAGUGAAAUUUCUAAAAUCCAGGCUGAUGCCAACCACCCACACUACUACUAUUUCACAAGAAAGGUUGGUUUUGUUAUAUGUUAUUGUUCGAAGGCUUCCCAUAGAUGUGGGAAGCAUUAUCGAAAAAGAAAUUAGAGAUUAUGCCAUCAAAAAACACAAAGUUGUCGUCUUGCUAUUUCCUUUACUCAUAACCAGCAUCUGUGUAGUAUCUGAUGUUUGUCUUGAUGCAAAUGAUGAACAUGUCAAGAAUGAUAGUGCCCUUACUACACACACCAUUGAGAGAAUUGUUGGUGAAAGUGCUGGAGCAACAACGGAACCAGCUGCUGUCACAAGGGCGAGACGAGCUAUUGGUUUAGAAUAGACAAUUCAGGCGCUGAGUACCAGUAUCACUCAAUGGGCUGAGGCUCAGCAGAAGGAAAACGAUCGAUUUUGGAGCUAUUUACAGCACCUAGACAACCACUUACACCAAUUUGCUCUUUACAUAAAAACACACCCACCGGCAUUUCCUUAAUUCAUUACUCUAGCGGUAUAAUUUUGACAUCAACACCACAGAUGCUCCAGCAGAAGCCAGUGAAGAAGCCACUGACAUAGAUGAACCAGAAGCAGCAGUUGCAGCAGACCCACAAGCAGAGGCUGACUUAGAAAAUGCUGAACCAUCUGAUCAACCUGAGGAAGAAGGUGACAAGUCUGCGACUGACAGCUCACCCACAGAGGCAGAUGAAGAUUAUGAGAAAGAACGUGAGGAACCCCCAGUCAGGACCUCUUCCAAAAUCAAGACAAAGCACAUCAUCCAAGAAGAGGAAGAGAGUGAACCUAAAGAGGAACCCCACAUUCCAGCCAUUUCGAGCAAGGGCAAGGAAAAAAUAGCAACUCAUUCUGCCUCUGAAGAUGAAGUCGAGCAAGUUGAUGCAAAGUUGGAAGCUGCAGCAACCAGAGUCAUGCGUACACCCACCGAACCCAAGCCGUUAUUUGACAUCAUUGCCGCAUUCACAACUGAGGGACAAGCAGCUGAUGCACCAACCCUAGCUCCUCCAUAGCAAAUUCCUAGCAAACUUAUUCGUGCUAGUCCUAGAGGAUCCAGCAAAACAAAAGGCAACAGUUCUAGAGGCACUGCUGCAACAGCCUCGACAGAACCAAAAAGGACCAGAUCGGUGUCCACCAAGCAAGCUGCCUCAGCCGCAACUCCUCCCACCAGCCCAUUGAAGAAAAAGACAAAGACGUUGCCAGCUACCUCCCCACAAGCUUCCCCAAAGGAUAAGCUGCGUAAUGCAUCCAAGAAAUGCUGAUGUCAUCCCCCCAUAUUGCAGCAACACCCAAACAACAGGGGAGUAUCUCAUUCUUGCUAGUCAAUUUAUUUAAUUCUGAAAAACUUGUCUUUCAUUAUGUUUUCAAUUUGUGUGAUUUAUUUUCUAAUGUCCUCCUCCAUGUCCUUAUCGAUUUGUGUGACUUUGUUGUUGUGUGCUUGUGAGGACACAACACCAUUUAUAGCUUGGGGGGGAUGUAUCUCUGAGUGUUUUGAAUAUGUGUUUAUGUAUGUAUUGUGUGAAGCACUGCUAUCUAAUAUUUGUGUAUGGAUUUAAAAACCUAAUGAAGAGAAAUUUAAUGUUAAUUAGUGAUCAUAAGAAUGCCGAGUAGAGAUAAUUAUAGAUGGAGAGUGAAAUUCUGUCCUGACACUUAAACUUUGGUGGAGUUUUAUGAGAUUGUUGUGGCAGAGCCAAAAGAAUAGAAAAGAUCUUAAGUUUGGGGGAAAAUGUUUGAUUGACUGUGCUUGCUAUGAGAUAAAUUCUGCUCCGAUGGCUCAAGUUGCUGAGUAACCAGAGCUGAGUAUUGACCCCAUAUGCAGAUUUGCGUCCAAAGACAACAAGAGUUAUGAGCAGUGUUGUAGCAGCAAAAAAAAAAAGUGAGACAAUAAUACGAGGAAGUCCUCUAUCUAGGAUAUUGAGUAGUCAGGUCUGUUCAUGAGCCCCAUGUUCAACCUUGAGGAAAAGAUAUCUCUAGAUAAGAUUAUGUUACAGAUAUUGCUACAUCAACUCUGAUCUGUGCAUGGUUUGAGUAAUUGGGUGUCAUCAUUACAAUUGAUUGGCAUUCACAUGAAAAAUAAAUGUUGCAGUGAGGAGGUCGAAUACUCUCAAGUUUUCAUUCUUAAAGACAACACAAUUUGAGUAUGUGAGAUUUAUGCUACCCCAUAUAUGAAUAAAAUUGUACUACUACUGAAUUACAUGCAAUCUCUUGGUAAUGUUGUAGCAUCUUUGGAAUUCAAUCAAAGUAACACACACACACAGUGGACAUAAGGAAGUUUAAGUCUAGAACUGAUUUACUAUAGUCAUUUUGCAUGAUUGGGAUUGUGAAAUGAAGGUGGAAGAAUCCGUGCAAAUUUGAUAAAAGAGUUAAGUUGUGUGUUGCAUGAUUGUGUGUGUGAAGUGUUAGUAUGUUGUCAUUACUUGAGGACAAGUAACGGUUUAAGUUUGGGGGUGUGAUAACUCUAUGAAAUGAGAGUUAUUACAUCAAUUCUAGACUUAAAUCAAGAUCACUUAGAGAGUAAAUGAGGUGUUUUUAUUAUAUUUUGGUUAUAUUUUGCAUAAACAUUCAUCUUAGUUGAGCCUUAAUAAGUUUUGCUUGAAUUAAAGUAAUUUGUGCUCAAAACAUGUGCAUAAUUGUAGGUUUUCAGAAGUUUAUAAUUCAUGAAGGGAUGUUGAGAUAUUAGACUAGCAAGAGGAGGAAAGAAUAUGGCCACAAAAUAAGUAAAGCACAACCGGGAACAGUGCAGUGUUAUAGCCGUUGUUAGAGCAACCAUUGCUGUAGCAAUCCUGGAGCACUGAGGGAGAAAACUUAGCGCGGGUCAGCUGCAGAAUUGCGAUCUGCAGUUUCCUAAUUUAACUCAUGCACGCCAGAGGCUUUUGUUUACCCUAGUUGUUAGUUAUAAAAGGGGGCGAGCACCACUUAAAACGGCGGCAAGGAAUUAACAUUGGAAAAUCGAGAGGAAGAAAAGAAAACAAUCCGAAUUCAAGGGAACCAAUUCUGCAUCAGUGAAGAAUCCACCAGAUUUAUUUAGAUUUAAUCUUCAUCGUUCUCUACUUGUUCUUUUCCUUACUCGUUAAUUGAACCGAUGUAUUUCAUGACCAAUAUUUUGAUGUUUGUUUUUCUCUUUCAGAAUAUGAACUAAUUUUGCUUGUAGUUGAGUGACAAACAAUCUAAUGGGUUCUUGACUGUUCUUAUGAGUUGUUAUGUCAUUGCUGUAGCAUUUUACUCUAGUAGCAAUUAUUAUAAUUGUUCUUUCGGUUGACCACCCAUUUAAUAGUUCAAGUUAAGAUAGAGCCGCAAAAGGGCAUCUCUUAGUGGUUAUUAUUAGAGUAAUACUUGAUCUUAAUUUGAGUUUCCUGGAUUAAGUUUAUCUUGAAUCCCAUAAGGGCUAUACUUGAAGUUAAGAUUUGUGACAAACUAGACAUAGGUACUCACCUCGUAGGGUGGAGAGAAUAAAGGUUCAUAAGGCCAUGUCAUAGGUAGAAUAGCAACUGGUCAUUGCUAAUAUACUUAAGGGUGUGAGAGUUCCAACACGCGACAACUGAGGAUGUAGACUAAUUCUGCCCAGUGCUGUAGCAAUUGAUGUAACAACUGGUGUUAACUUGAGAAAAAGCAGUCAGCCCAUAAAGAGAGUUUGAUCAUUCAACUACCUUAUUCUCAAUUGAUUCUUAGACGUAUUUAAUUUAAGUUAAUUCAUUACUGAAUUGUUUUAUUUUAGUCUCUCACAAUUAUCAAUUUCAAUAGAACCUACUUUACAUUUGUUAACUUGGACUUAAGGUAUAUUGCACUGUUGUGAUUGUUGUAGCAUUUCUAGUGACAUCAAUCCCUGUGGAGACGAUCUUGAAUAUUCAUCACUUUAUUACUUGUUGUGUACACUUGCACAUUGGCAUCAAUAACAUUUGAUUAUAAUAAAUCACCAACAGCAGCCUACAAUAUCUCAUAUUCACUAGGCUAUACAUUAUUCAUGUUGUCAAGAAAGCUUGUUAACACUUCCAAAGCCCUACUAAACAAGACCUCAAAGUUGUUACAAGAAUCCUACGCUAUCUCAAAGGCACUCUCAACUUCGGACUUUGAUUUCUUUAAGAAAAGCUCCAAUCAAUCAAAACCUUUUCGAACUCUAAUUGCAUUGGUUGCCUUGAAAUAAAGUUGGCAAAUUAAGGGUCUGGGCCAGGCUUGAACUGAGCCUUUUAAAGCCUAGGCCCAAGCCCAACUUGUUGAGAAUAAGCCCAUGCCAUUCAAAAGUCCAUCCAAACAUUAGACUGGGAAGGCUUGGGCCUUCAUUAUUUUUUAAAUAAAUUUUUAAUAAAGUAAAAAAAUUUAAAUUCAAGAUAACUAUUCUAUACAUAAUAGAAUAAUAGUCAAAUAUUUAAAAUAUUAGUAGGACAACAAAAUAGAUAAUAAAUGCUUAAAUAAAAAAUAUAUUAAUAUAAGAUUUGAGUUUUUAAUUUGAUAUUUUUUAUUUAUAAAUUAAAAAGUCCGGGCUUGAUAUUAGUAACACAACAUAAUAAAUCACAAAUACUAAUACGAGUGGGCAUAAACCCACAAUUCAUGGGUUUACCAAAUCCAAACCAAAUUAAAUAGUUUGAGUUGGGUAAAUUAUGAAAAUGGGUUAAAUGUGGGUUUUAUAUAAAAAAAAAAAACAUUUCAUUAUGGGUUGGGUAUGGUUUACCCAUGGGUCAUGAAUAAAACCCCAACACUCAAACUUAUCAAAUGAAAUAAAUGAAAAAAAAAACAAAUAAGUGAAAGGUUAUUAUUAAAUUGUUCACGGCGUGAUCAAUUGUUAACAGUUAGAAAAGGAAAACAACAUGUAAAAUCAAAUCUGAAUUAAAUAAAUGCUAUUGUAAAUAAUUAAAUGAGAUGAAAUUAGUGUUUGAUGAAAUGAAAUCAUUUUUUUUUAAUUUAUAAACUCAUAUUAUACUUACGUAAUUACCGCUUUUAUAUUUCUAACAGUAAUAAGAAAACAUCAAAUCUAUAUUGUUGUUUUCGUAUUUAAAUUAAGGAAAAUUAUAGUAAUAAUGUUGAGAUGGUUUUUGAGGGCAUAGUUACCUAGCCCAUUGGAAGAAAAUAAUUAAUAAUUAUGAGAAAUAAUAUUUCGCCACUGAUAAAAUAUUAUUGUGACAGAAAUUAUAAAUCCUUAUUAUAAAUAAAAUUAACAUUUUGUGUGCUAUAUUGAUAUUGUAGCAUAAAUAAUACUCCGUUUUUUAUUUUGAUGGGAUUUAUUGACAUUGAUCCCCCAUCUUGAAAUUCAUGAGCAAUCAACCUAUUGAAAAAAAAAAACACCAUUUGAUAAAAAAUUAUCAUCUCAAUAAUUAUAAGUCAAAGGAUACAUUUUUUUAGUUAAAGAAAUUUUAUUAUUUUAACUAAAUGGCACUCACAUAAUUUUUUUUAUUUGCUUUCUUUGAAUUUACCUGUUGAUGUCAUGUUUGUGGAAGUUUAUUAUUAGAGUUUACGUUCUUAUUUAUUGAGAAUUAAUGAUUUUUGUGAUUAAACUUUAUUUUAAUUUUCUAGUAUUCUUUAAUUUAAGGAUUAAGUUAUUAUAAAAUUUAUUAUUUAUAAUUUUUAUCCACUAGUUUUUUCAUAUUUUAGUAUCAAUUUAAAAAUUAAUAACAAUUAAUAAUUAUUAUAAUUAUUAUAUAAUUAAAUUUAUCAAAAUAAAAAAUAUUUUGAUAAUAAAAUUCAAACCAAAUCCAAAUGAGUUGGUUUGGGUUGGGUUGAAAUUAUUUGGGUUGGUUUGGAUCGAACCCAAACUUUUAUGGUUUGAUUUGGGUUUACUUAAAACCCAAUCAAAACCAACACAUGCCCACCCAUAAAUACUAAUAUAAAAAAUGUUAAUAUAGUAUUUUAAUUUUUUUAAUUUAAUAUAUUAUUUAUUUAUAAAUUAUAAAGCCUUGGCUUUUUCUAGGCCCAAUCUAUGCGGGCUUCAUAUUUUUCAGCCUAUAUCCAGGCCCAAUCCAUGUAGCUCGGCUUGGACUUUUUUGGUAACCGUACCUUGAAAUAGAAUGUUGCACAAUAGGCUUUUGUAUUUACCUUGGGACAAAUUUAAUCUCAUGGUGUAGCAAGAAACAAAAAAUUGUUGCAUGAUCCAUUGUACAAGUACAAUAUCGGGCUUAAUUUGUCUCCCAAAAUGGCUUAAUUAACUUGGAUUCUUACUUUAUUUUAGGACAUCGGGGUCUCAACUUUACAUGUUCCUCACCUCCUCAACAACAACAAGAGCGCCAUCAACAUGACACAUAAUCCACUUCUUCAUGCUCAUAGCAAACACAUCGAAAUCGAUGUCCAUUUCGUUCGUGAAGAAGUCAUUCAAGGACUUCUUGAAGCCAAGCAUAUUCCCUUAUUGUUGCAAACUAUAUAUCCACUUACCAAACCACUGGGUAAAGAUCUUUUCUUCCUCUUUCAGCACAAGCUUGGCAUUCACUCUAUAACCCAACUGAUCUCAAGAGGGCUGUUAAGAUACACUGCCCACCACAUAUGGAAUUCGCGGAAUUCAAAUAGUCACAGCUAAUGAACCAUAUGCAGCCACACGAGUCACGUACCAACAUGGAAAAGAUCAACACACCAACUCAAUCCAGCAUUAACAUGGCAAGUAACAAACCUUUGGAAACAAAUAUGCCAAUCUGUAUCGCUCUGGCAAAAGGCUUACAACAAAAUCAUCUCACACAAUCCUGUGACAUGCAAACUCACCAACGAAAGAUAGCCAACUAUCAUUCAAGCCUAGAUUUUCUUCAUAACAUAGCCAAUGCACUACAACAAAAAGUUGUAUUACCGACCAAAUAUUUCCAAGGGCAUUGUUUACCCUCGAUAAUAAGCACUUUUUACAAGGACAUAAAGUAGUUGUUGGAAAAUCAUUAAAAAAAUGAAAUAUAAUACUAAAUUAAAAUAAAAUCUUUGAACCUCCUAUAAAAAAGAUAAAACAAAAAUAAAUCCUAUAAAUAUAAAAAAAAUAUUAAAAAAUAUUAAAAAAAAACAAAAUGAAGGUAUUAUCAGUUCAUACAAAAGAAACAAAACCAAUUAAAUAAAGCCCAACCCUUUCGUAGAAAAUAAAGCCCCUAAACAAAAUAAGACAUUGUAAUCAAUACAAACUGAUUAAAAGAAAAUUCAAACGAACAAAUGGAGACGCUAUUUUCAUCUUAGCAUCUGCUGCUCUCUCUCUCUCUGUAUCUUGUUUGCAUGUAGAAGCACCUCAAAGUAAAUUUACUUAGAAUUUUUAGCUUGCAAAUUUUUAACUCUUUUUAGCUUUUCCCACAGUUUCUCCAAUCCAUCUCCCUCUUAAUAAUUUUUCUUUAAUAUCAUAAAUUUUCUAGGGUUUUAGAGUUGUAGAUUCACAACUUUGUGCAUCUUCUGUGUCUCUCCGAGUCAGCUCAUCAACUCUUUGUACGCAUCUCUUGGUCUGUAGUUUUGAUACUUGUAAUUUUUAUUCUUCUUUCAGUUAUUUACUUUUGUUUCUUGCAUUUCAAUCUUAUUAAAGUUUUACUUUCUGGGCCUUAAUGACUUGAAUUUCACCAAGUUCCUUAAAACUUAAUUGGUAAUUACUUGAUCCAUUAACAUGAAUUUGUAAUAAAAAUGUUUUGUGAUAAUUCUCGAUGGUGUAUUUAAUGUGUAAUUAACUACAGAGUUUGCAUAAUUUAGAAGCACAGAGUGCACAACCAUUUCUUGUUUGGUUAAUCGAGUUUGCAUUUAUUUGCUUUGUUUUAUCGGAUUGAAAAACACUAUUUUAGAAAGUCAACUUUGAUGAGUUAUUAAAAAUGAUAAUUAGGAACAUUCAAAGGAAAUCCAAGAGUGUUAGUUAUUGUGCAAAUUUUAUUGAACUCGCAAGCGCACGAAUCUAUUGUAGAAUAGACUAAUGGUGACGAGUGUCGAUCCCACGAGGAGGUGGAUUUUAAUUAUAUGUAGAAUUAAUUUUGUAAAUGGGUGGUUGGAUUUGUGGUGGAAGUGAUUUAAAUUAUCCUAAAAUUUGAAUUGAAAUGGCGAGAAUAAAUUCUAAAAUUGGAAUUGCAAUGACGAGAAUAAAUUGAAGAGAAAUCUAUUGAAAUGACAUACUUGGGUAUCUGGAUCCGUAUCAACAUGCAUCAUGGGCUAAAUAUUCCUUAUUAAUACCAAUUAAAUCAUGAGGGGGGAAUCCACACCUCAUGAAUCACACUCUAAUCAAUAUGGUGCUAAGGGCUUAUCGUGCCAAAUAAUAAUAACCUUGUACUAGGGAGCCGGUGAAACCAAGGCGGUACUAGACAAAAUUAGUAUUAUUUGUCGACGAGAAGUCAAAACAUCCACAAAAAUUAGAGGGGAAGAGAAAGUAAAUUUACCAAAUAAAGCCCACGACACAUGUUGAGACUUCACCUUCAACCCAAGCUUGAAAGAAAAUUAGCCACUCAUAAUUGAACUAGGGGCAAAAUAGGAAUUUAUUAAAAUACGUAGAAAAUACAAGAUGGAGAAGGAAUUAUAGAAAAUGAAUCCCAAAAAUGGAUUUAGAGAUAUCAAAUUACGGGGGGGAGGCCCCCUUUUUAUAGAUACAUCGAGUAAAUCAUGGCCAUCGGAUUAAAAACAGUUUGGACGCUCAGGAUUGCACCACAUCAUCAGUCGUGAAUAGUACACGGUUUGACCACAUGGAUGAACAGUAACACGGUUUGCACCGGGUGAACAGUGACGCGAUUUGGUUGAAAAUAAUCUUGUGUGUUGCAUGUACUGUACGUGAGAUUUUUGGUCCAUUGAUAUGCUGCCACGUCAUCGAUCAACAGUGCAUAAGAAUUUUAGUCCAACAGGAUCGUGACACCUCAUCAGUCAAUGCCACAUCAUCGGUCAAUGCCACGUCAUCAAUCCGUCUAUGUGAAGAGUGUCGGGAACAGUAACGUAGACAGUACCGUACAUGUGAACAAUGCCAUUUUUCCUUUUAUGCUCCUCCUAAGGUUUUCGACCGUCCUGAGUUCAAAAGUGAUGUCCGUUUUGCCGUCUGAUCUCUCGUUUAUUGUGAAAUGACUAUGACACCCCUAAAAUACAUAAAAUACUUAAUUAAAAUAAAACACACAAUUAAAUUACAAGAAGCUUAAACACAUAAAAGUAAGGGUUGUUAGUAAGACGUGAAAUGUAAAAUAACGAUUUUCUCCUUUAUAAAUAUGCAUUUUCUAACACUCAACAUUAGUGCUCAACAAAAAUAAAAUAAAAUUAAAUUAGUGAUAGUCAUAUUUAGAGCUCAGCAAAAAUGAUAUUCAGUUUCAUUUUUGUUUGAUGUCAACAAUUUUAAUACUAAUGGACAUGUUUCAGGUUUUGAUUGUUGUACCACUAUACAAAAAAGCUUCUGUGCUUUGUGGUGGUUGCUUUUCUAAUUAUAUUAUGUAGGUUAGAAUUUGUUCUUUAAAGUCUGCAAAGGGUUUUGUUUCUUUAAUGAUGUAGUAUAUCUCUUGAGUGCUACUGUGGCUACUGCUUGCAUAAUGAUUUUGCCUUUCAUAUAGUUUUUUUUUUAUUCAGACAUGUUGUUGGUUGAUAAAUCAUGGAUGUAAUUAGAAAAGUCAACAAGUGAAUAUGUUAGUGGAGUGAACAAUUUUCUUGAUUAUGCUUUUAGACACAUUAAAUAUGAGGAUAAAAAAAUCCUCUAUCCAUGCGUUAAGUGUACCAAUAGGUAUAGAUUAGUUCAGAGCGAGGUGGAAAGACAUUUUUUAUAUAAAGGGAUGAGAUUGGACUACACUACUUGAUACUAUGGGAUAUUAUCAUUCGAAUACCCUAUACAUGUUCUGUUAUAAAAAAUACUACAAUACUUUGAGGGUGUAUCAAUCGUCCACCCUAAAUUGAUAAAAGUUAUAUGCCAACCACCAAACCGUUAGCUGCCGUUUGAAAGUUAACAGAAUUGUAGCAAAUUGACGAUGUUACCCUUGAAAAUUAUCACUUGUAUACCCUUAAAUUCUUUUAUUAUCACUUGUAUACCCUUUAAUUAUUACUUGUAUCAUAUGAAAAGACCAAAUUACCCCUCUGACAUCAUCUUAUUUAAACGGUAAGUAACGGUUUGGUUAAUAGCAGAUACAUUUUGUCAAUUUAGGGUGGACGAUUGAUACACCCUCAAAGUCUCGUAGUAUUUUUGAUAACAGAGUAUUCAUAGGGUAUACGAAUGAUAAUUUCCCUUAGGAAAAUAGAAAGAGUAAUAGUGAUAGUGAUAGUGAUGGUGAUAAUGAUGAUGUUGACUGUUAUAGUGAUGAUGGUCGUGAUGGUGGAUAUAAUGAUAUGUUUGGCCAAGUUGAAGAAAGUUUUUCCAAGAUCCUAAAAAUGAUGCACAACAACCAUUAAGUUUUUAUAAAUUAUUAGAAGAGGCACAACAACCAUUGUAUUCAAAUUGUACGAGAUAUUCCAACUUAUCUUUUUUUGUCACAUUAAUGCAUGCCAAAUGCAUUAAUGGUUGGAGUAACAAAUCCUUUGACACAUUAUUGGAGAUUUUGAAGGAUGCAUUUUCUUCAUGUGAAAAAUUGCCUAUGUGUAAUUAUGAUGCAAAAAAGAUAGUUAAAGAUAAUGGUUUGCAUUAUGAAAAAAUUGACGCAUGUAUGAAUGAUUGUAUAAUCUAUUAUAAAGAAUUUGCAAAUGCAUCUCAAUGUCCAACUUGUGGGCUUUCGAGAUGGAAGACAAAAGGUAAGGUGGUGAAGGAAAAGCCAAAAAUGUUCUUGGAAGGUUAUAUGUUACUUUCCUAUUACACAUAGACUUCAAAGGUUAUUUAUGUCAUCUAAAGUAGCUGCACACAUGAGAUGACACUCUGAAAAGCGUGUUAAAGAUGGGUUGCUGAGGCAUUCUACAGAUUAUGAGGCUUGGAAGAGUUUUGAUCACAUUUAUGAGUCAUUUUAUAGCGAUCCCCGUAAUGUUCGACUGGGUUUAGCUAUUGAUGGCUUCAAUCCUUUUGAAAAUAUGAAUUUUGGAUACAACUGUUGGCCUGUUCUUUUAUUUCCAUACAAUCUUCCACAUUGGAUUUGUAUGAAAGAGUCGUAUAUGUUCAUGUCUUUCCUUAUCCCAGGUCCAAAAGGCCCAGGUAAUGAUAUUGAUGUGUACUUGAGGCCAUUAAUUGAUGAGUUGAAUGAGUUGUGGGAAAAUGGAGUGAAUACUUAUAAUGUUUCCACACGUUUAAAUUUUCAAUUGAAAGCGAUUGUUAUGUAGACAAUUAAUGACUUUCCUACAUAUGAUCUUACAUCUGGUUGAAGCACAAAAGGAAAGUUGGUUUGCCCAUGUUGUGCUAAGAAGACUGCUCAUCGUAGAUUACAUCACAGUUCAAAAAUAUAUUAUAUGAGGCACCGUCGAUUUUUGCCACUGGGACAUAAGUGGAGAUUUCAAAAGAGCCAAUUUGAUGGUAUGAUAGAAAAGAAAGCUACACCGAAAAGACCAUCUAGUGAGCAAGGGAUAAAUGAACUUGAAAGUUUAAGGCCAAUAAUAUUUGGUAAAACAGGGAAAAAGCAAGUCAUUCAUGGGUUUGAAAAGCAUAAAAAUUAGAAAAAACAUAGUUUUUUUUUUCAGUUACCAUACUGAAAACGUUUUUAUUGUAUCACAAUUUAGAUGUCUUGCAAAUUGAAAAAAAAAUAUGCGGGAUAAUAUACUUGGUGCACUUUUUAAUAUUGAUGGCAAAACAAAAGAUAACCUAAAUGCUCGCCUUGAUAUAGAAUCCUUGAAUAUAAAGCAUGAGCUUCACCCAAAAUAUGAUGAUGGAAAACCUAUUUUUCCCAUUGCUUCUUGUAGUUUGACAAAUGAAAAGAGAUAAAGAUUGUGUGAGUGGCUUAUGAAUGUGCAAGUUCCAGAUGGAUAUUCAGCUAAUUUAUUAAGAUGUCUGAAUAUACUCGAGCAUAAAAUUCCAUGCAUGAAGAUUCAUGACUGUCAUGUGUUCUCAGAGAGAUUAUUGUCUCUUACAAUGCGAGAGUUUUUACUAAAAGAAAUUUGUGAUGCUUUGAUAGAAGUUAGCACAUUUUUCACAGAAUCAUGUGCUAUGGUUUUGAAAGAAUAAGAUUUGGUUAGGCUUGAAAAACAAAUGAGCUUAACACUUUGCAAAUUACAAAAAAUAUUCCCUUUUUCCUUUUGCAAGUUAAAAAUGGUAACUUAUUAUGACUUUGUACAGUGCAUGCUGCAUUAUUUUUUUAUCAUGUAGGUUUUGUAACUAUGAUUAAUCUAACCGUUUCUACCAUUUGUGUUUGUUUGAAAUAUUUUUGUUGAAAGAUUAAUUGGCUUCUAAUGGUUAAAAAUGGAAAGUUUCGAACUAUAAACAAAAAGAAGUCUCUAGCUACUAACGAAGGGAAAAAGACAAAUGAAAAUUACAAGAUCGAAUGACAUAGUUGCUAGCAAAGGAAAGUCUCAAGCUAGCACACAUAACAAGGUUACUGAAUUAGCUCUAUAAUUGGUGGUGAAGCUUUAUGUUUUACUACAAUAGAUGAAGGUAUUAACUUAAUGUUUAAUGCACAAUUAAAUUUAAAUUAAUGGCUAAUUUGUAUCUUAUUUGAUUUUGUACCAGCUUCAAGUAGCAAAAAGAAGCAAAAUGGUCGAGGAAAGGCCAAAGCAGUUGCUCAAGGGCAUGUUAUAACUUUAGAGAUAUAUGAUGGUAGGUAAAAUGGUUGACAAAUGGAUGGAUGAGGGGUGGAAAGUACUAAUAAUGACUAUUAGCAUAAUACUUUUCUGUCAUUUUCUUUCUUAAGCUUCGCUAUUCUUUUAAUUCAUCAGUGAAUUAUAGUUGCUAGAAUCAUUAUAGGAAUAAAAAACUUAUAAAUAUUGUCAAUGUACUUUAUACAUGAGUUGUUCUUGAUGGGUGUUGUCCACAUUUUAUUGUACUCGCAAGGGUACGAAUCUAUUGUAAAUAGAUUUUGUGUUCGGUCCCACGAGAAUAUAGAUUUAAUUAUGCAUAGGGUUAAUUUUCUAGGUGUAUAUGUGAGUUGGUUGGGAGUGAAUUUUUUUAUCUUAAGAUUUAAAAAAAAAUGGCGGGAAUGAAUUAAAGAUGAAAAUAAUGCAAAUGAAAAGCUUGAAUCUCUAAAUUUAUACUCAACAUUUCACAAUAGGCUUAAUAUUUAUGUGUUUAGUUCCAAUUAAUUCAUGAAGGGGGUAUUUCAACUCCUCAUAAUUCUCACUCUAAUAAAUAUGACAUCAAGCGCUCAGUGUGCAAGGGGUAAUGAUCUUCCACUAAGUGUGGUGUCAAGAACACGCUGUGCCAGAUGAUAAUAAUCAACAACAUGGCAAGACCAUCCACUAAAUAGCUUAGAUACACUCUCUGUCAAUAUUGAAUCAAGACGACCCACAAAAUACCAUAGGGAAAUUUUCUCUCUAAUUAAUAUGAUGUUAAGUGCUCAUUGUGCCAGACAGUAACGAUCCUUCACUAGGGAGCAGGUAUACUGUGCAAAAUCUAGACAGGAUACACUGUCUGUCGACAAUGAGUCAAAACAACCACAGAAAUCAGAGAGAAAAAAAAAAUAAACUUACCUAAGCCUAUGGAUCAUGUUUAACCUUCACCUUCAACCCAAGCUUGAAAUAAACUAGCCACUUAUAAUUGAACAAGGAGUAAAAUGAUAAUUUUAUUAAAAUAUGUGGAAAAUACAAGAUGGAGACAGAAUUAUAGAAAAUGGAGCUCGAAAAUGGAUUCAAGGGUGUUAAAUUAGGUGGAGGAGCCCUCUAUUUAUAAAUACAAUAGGUAAAUCAUGGCCAUCAAAUGAAAAUAAUUCAUACGCUCAUGAUUGCGCCACAUGGCAAGCUUUGAUUGGUUGGCACACUUUAUUAGUCAACACCACAUCAACAUUUCGGUCCCAUAAGAUACUGCCACAUCAUCAGUCAAUGCCACAUCAGUAUUUUGGUCCAAUAACAUCCUGCCACAUCAUCGGUCAAUGCCACAUCAUCAUACCGUAUAUGUGAAACAGUGUUGUACUUGGGAAUAUUACCUAAUAUGUGAACAGUACCGUAUGCCGAAUAUCCAUUUAUGCUCUUCCUAAGGUUUUCGACCAUUAUGAGUUCAAAAAUACCAUCAGUUUUGUUGUCUGACUUCUCGUUAGUCAUAAAAUGGCCAAAAUAUCUCAGAAAUAUAUAAAAUACUUAAAUUAUAAUAAAACACACAUAAUAAAAGCUUAGAGGAUUUAAACAUGUUAAAGUGAAAAUGUUAGUGAGACUUGGAGCAUAAAAUGAUAAUUUUACCCUCUAUAAAUAUGAAUUCUCUAGUACUCAACAAUGGGUUCAGAAUAACCAAGUUGAUUUUAUGCUUUUUUUAAAAUUAUAUAUAGAAAACAGGCACAACGAGCAAGAGGAAUUGAACCAAGUCCAAACUUAUUCAUACUACAAGUUCGUCCCAAUGGCCAAGCAUAGAACAGAAAUGAGAAGAGAACAUGUUUGACUUUGAUCAUAAAAGAAGUGUGUUUAUUUAUUAUGAUCUUAUUGAAUUUCAAUUCUUUAUUGCAGUAACAAAUAGGUACUUAACUUAGUCCACUUAAGAUGUUUCAUGUAAGGGGACAUGGGCAAGUAACAAGGCAAAGGAAAUGCAUGUGUGUAUUUGAUAUUAAAUUUUCAUAAUAUUCCUGAUUUAUUUGCAUGAUUUCAUUACUAUAUGCACUAACACAAAUGUUUGUAUUUAUUAUAGGAAACAAUGGAAUCAAGGAGAUUCACUGUUAUAGAUCAAGGCUUGCCAUUGGAUGAAUGGAAAAUAUCUCGAGAAGUGACAAGAGAAGCAGCACAUGGUCGUGUUGUUGGUUAGGGAGCAGGCAUCAAAGGCAAGGAUGUGUAUGGUUCUCCAAGUUAAGGAGGUAACAAGCAUCAAUGUAGUAAUUUGGAAGUAAAAGUAAAAGACUUUUAGAAAGAAAUCAAGAAGUUGAAAAGAAUGAUAAAACUUGUUCUUGGAAAGUCUGCAUAAGAAUCAUCUCAGAAGGUAUAAGUUGUUUAUUUCAUUUUAUUAAUAGAUUAAGUGAAUGAAGUGUUCUAUAUUUUGAGUUCUCAUGAAAAAUGAUUGGUGAUUUGUCAUUGCUCUAUUAGUUGAUGAACUUAAUUAAUUAUGGACAAGCUUCUAAUAUAGGUGAAUGAUGGAAUAAUUAUUAGAUUUUUUGAAAUGGAGACUAUGCAUCGAUAUAAAGUUGUUUUUAUUACAAUAUUUUUCUCAUUAGUCUCAGUUUCUUGAUUAUAUUUCAUACAAGUUCUUGUUUUGGUAAUAAUAAUGAUUAAAAUUCCUUCUUUCACCUAGGACAUUGUUUUGACGGGAGAAGAUGAUGGGUAUGAGGAUGAUGAAGUUGAGGUAAAUGAUUCAGAAACUGAAGUUGUUUUAGAGGAUGAUUGAACAAAUUUAAGAUAUGGUGAUAUCAUUUUGUAUAUACUUGGGUAUAUUUUUUUUUUCUGUAAAAGAUAGUAUAAAAUUGAUCUUUUUGUUCAUUUUUGAAUGAUGAAUGUGAUUUUAUGAAUUUUUGAAAUUAAUGAAGUUACAUUUAGUAUAUUUCGUAUAUUAUUAUUAUGUUUGUUACAUUACUUCCCUAAUAUAGAUAUUUCAACAAUAAAAAUAAAAAAAUUAAUGAAAUAAGUCUAUUUCUGACAGUGUAUCUUUUAUUUCUGAGGAAAUGUUGCAGCUGAAUAUAAAAAUAACUAGGUUUAUCUUAUCUUAUUUCGGAGGGCAUUUAAUUCCAUAUCCGAUGGCAACAUCCUCGGAAAUUUUUUUUUUCUCCAACGACUCAUCAGAAACUCAACAUUUCCGAUAAGACUUAAUACGACGACGAUCGACGGCAUGUCCUGCUUGAAAAUGAAUUUUUCCGAGAGUCUUUGUCUAUUUCCAAGGGUACUUGCCCUCGGAAAUGUUCCAUUUUCUUGUAGUGUACGGCUAGCUAGUCAAUGUCUAGGUUUAGAAUGAAUCCCAUUAUUUCUGCAAAAUAUGUCUUCCAUAUAACAAUCACGUUUCUUAAUAUAGAAAUUAAAACAACACCAACAUAGUACCAAACAAAAAAAAUCAUAUGCUUCAAAGACAAUAAAAUACACAAAUGAUACGAAGCGAAGCAAGAUAAAUGAUAAUAUGUCAAAUGAAAUUUCUAUAUGAUGGAGUUUUUUUUUUGUUUUUCCUUUCCCAAGUUGAGGUCAUGGAUAUCAGGAUAUCAUUGUCAAAUGAAAUUUAUGCUUUUUUUGGUGUGGGGGGAAGGGGGGGGGGGGGGGGGGGGGGGGGGGGGGGGGGGAGAACGUGGCUGUUAUUGUCAAAUUAAAUUUUAUGCACCUUUCUUUUAUUUUCUUUUCUUUUCGUUUUCUCAUGGCAAUUAACUAGUUUGCUCAUGUGGAAUUACACAUCAUUGGCGUUGAAAUUGACUUUUAGAUACCUCCUUCCAACUUUUUUCAUUUCAAUUAUUGAUAUAUUUUUUCAGCUUUCUUUUGAAACUUUCUGAAAUCUGAAUGUAUUGGGAAAAAUAUUUAAUCAAUCUGAAAGCUCAUAUUAUUUCGGUUUCGGAUUGCUCUGAAUAAAUCAUAGUGCAUAUAUUCAGGUCGCUUGAAAUUUAAGGUGAAAAUGAAAUUUAUUUGAAAUUUCAUCAGAUAUCCUUAUAAAAAUAUUUUGUUACACCAACUCUUUAGUUAAAUUUUACAAUAUUAUAUAUUUAAAUGCCCACAAUACAAUUUAUCAUUAAAGAGAAGAUAAUACACACUAAAAUAUUAUGUGAUAUGCAUGGUAUGUAACAUGUUUUUCAUGAAGUGAUUCACAAUUUUUUAUAAAUAUUACGUGAGUUAAUUAAACUAUACCAUCAUUCACUUAAUGAAUAUCGUAUCAUUUGAGAUAAAAUUUCAAGAUGCCUAACACUACUCUUUGUAUAAUCACACUGCACUUUUAAUAGGGUGAAUUCCAAUAAAGUCUUUGUUAUCCUUCAAAUUUACAAAUGAGCUAGCAGUUAACAUAAUCAAUCAAUUACAUCUUUCUAAGUGUUUUUUUCUUUCCCCCAUCUCUAGAUCCAUUGACCACCUUGGAUACUAGCUUGCAUUAAUAGAAAAUUAAUUCAACUUUUUGAACCUUGUAAUAUAAAAGGACCAAAUUGACGGUAUGGAGGAUUUCCCAGCAUCGCUGCCUUGAGAGGUCUCAGGUCUGGUCCAAGUCCAUGUGCCAAUUGCCACUGUUUAUCAACAUCUUCCACUGGUUUCUUGAUGGCAGCCAAAUAAUCACAAAUAGAUUUGAAUUUCUUUUGUAUACUGAUCUACAAUCAAGCAAGCCAGCUUUCUUAAGAGGUUCACUAGUGGCAAACUUUUUUUCAUUGAAACAUAAUAACCAUGCAUGUCUGUGAUUCUCAAGAUUGGCUGUGGUACCAUAAAAAAAGUUUCAUUGACGAAUUGUUGGAUACAUAUACAAUAUGGGGCAUAGAGUUUUGCUCAAGAUUCUUGGCUUCCACCUAGUUAAAUUAAAAGAAACGGAUAGAGGACUAACGGCUAGUGAUUAAUUCAAGGCUUUCAUUAUUCUUGCUUGUUAUGUAAGGUUGAUUGUGCUGUUUGAUCCUCAGUUUUAAUUAGCCUCACUUGAUUGAGUUGACUUGGAUAUUAUACUGCAUGUUAAUUGAAGAUUUUCUUAAUAACAUAGUGGAAAUGUGAUCAAGAUAGAUAAAACCCUCGCAUAAAAUAAGGAUUUUAAUGAUAAAAAAUUAUUAAGCACGUGACAUAAUCUUUCUAAUAGUAAACUAGAAAAGAGAAUCCAUGCACCCCCAAAUAAAAGUCCAAUUAUAAAUUCUGCUUGAAAAAAUUAAAAUACUAAAUAAAAUAAGUAAACUUCAAUUUUGUCUUACAUCAAACAAUCUUAGAUGAUGAUGUUUCUGAUUGGCUUAGAAGAAUCGUGGGGAUGUUAUACUUUUGAAAUAUUAAUUUUUAAUAGUAAUAUUACUCAUUAAUAUGAAUAGGUUAUUUUUACUUUUUUAAUUUUUUACCAAUUAUUUUUUUUUUACUUACAUUGCAAAGAUAAAUUUUGAAUCAUUUAUCAUUAAUGUACAACCUAAUUGUAAAUAUCCAAAGUACCAAUAUAAAUUAUUUUGCAGUUAUUUUGAGAACACAAUAACUUAAGCAAGAUCGUAACUUUAUUAGUAAAGAUAAAACAUAAGAGCAGAUGCUGGAAACAAUAACAAAAUGCAAUAUAACAUAGUACACACAAAUCCUUUAUUCUUAAUAUAUUAAAGGGUGGUCUAGGAUAUUUAAGUUUCCAUCCCAAAAGACUAUAGCAUUUUAAUUGAGUGACUCAUCCUAUAUUUAAACCCGUGUGUCACCUCAUUUUCUAGUCAUUUCGAGACAUUUCAACUACUACGUACACUUAAAUCUUGAACGAUAUUUUGCUAUUCCAUCAAGCAGUACAAGAGACUUGCGGGAAUACGGUUGCUCAAUUCUUUAUGGAUAGACUUCAAUGAGGGACCUCAUGCCAAAUAUAGGUGUUAUUUUGUAGUGACUGAAACCAGCAUCGAAGAAUAGCUUUGCCCAUUCACUUUCAGUUCUCUCUUUUCCAGUAGAGUUAACGCUCAGCACAAUGUCAAACAAGAACUUUGUUUCGGUUAAUUCGUGUUCCUCUUCCUCUGCAUUGAUAACGAUAUCUAUUAUUAUUACCUUUCCUCUCUCACCAUUGCUUGCAAUUGCUUCUCUGCGUUUCUUCAGUAUCUUCAACCCAUCCUCAUCACCUAAUCCAUGAAAAACCAACUGCAAGCAUGCCAAUCACUCAUUUAAUCAAUACCCACCACUUAUAGUGCAGUUCCGUUGUUUGAUCUAACAUUUUAGAUAAAAUAUAGGAUACUUUUUCUUUUUAAUAAAAUCCCAACAGUUCGUGCGUGUGUCUAUCUAUCCAUCUAUCUAUAUACAUACACAAAUCACACUUUUUAGAAUGGAGAUUCGUUGUUUUAAAUAUUGUAAAAUAAUUUUAUAGUGUUGUAGAUAAAACGUUUUAUUACUCCGCCUAUAAACACACACACAUAUAUACAUAUACAUAUAAGUUAUGAAAAAAUAAGUUUCAAUGUUAUACAAGCCUUUACCAAUAUGGUAAACUUCGAAUCUACACUUGAAAAAAUGCGGGCAACCGCACUAUAAAAUGACUACGUAAAUGGUCAUGCUCAAGCCUAAACUUCUAGAUUCUGUAAAAUCCAAAUGUUAAUUAAAUUUAGAGUUGUAUAGCAUUUUGCAGUUACUUUAAAUCUGAUUUGAAUCAUUCAAAUCCUGAUUUUGUAAGAUCGAACGUCCGGAUAUAUGUGCUGCGCACAGAACAAUUGAAAUAAAUCAUCUGGUAUUCACGAAAACGGUUAAGAAGUUGUUUUAAAUUUUUAAAAUUGGAUCUUACCUUGAAGAGAAAGGCAUCUGCCGGAGGGAUAAACUGAAACAUGUCACCUGCUAUGUAUUUAAAGUUGUCGGCCUCAGGCAAGUUAGCAACAACAUGCGGGAGGUCGAGUACAGUGCAUUUGAUGCCAGGGAAUGCUUCAGAGAUGAUUCUGGAUAACGAUCCGUUGCCACCUCCUACGUCAACCAAUGUGCCCAACCCUUCAAAGAUUUGCUUACACUCGGCUUUGACAACAAAGCUUGUCAUUAUUUCAGUGUCACUGGCCAUUGCUUCAUUGAACCGCUGGUUUAUUCCAGGGUUUUGAUUCAUAAAUUCCCAGAACUUGAUUCCAUGAACAGUUUCCCACAACGUGCUCAGUCCCUUUGAACCAACUACUUAAAGACUGAAAUGGAGCGACAAAAAGUGGGUCAACAAAUGCUGAAACAGUUGGUGACAUGCUGUAGGGCUUGUCUUUGAUGAGCAGAGUAGAAGCAGCUGUGAGCCCGUAUACUGUUGGGGAAAAAUCCAGUUUUUAAAUUUUUAUAAAACUUUUUGAAGACCGCUCUCAUAUAAUAUAUAAGAAUACGUAAUCCAGAAAUCGUACCUUGAAAAUUCGAGUUGGCUUUUUCCGCUGAAGUGAUUUAGGCUCCCAGAUCACGAUCCGUCACCACCACUCCUGUUAGAUCACGAUCUGUCACCACCACGCUUGUUAGAUCACGAACUGUCACCAAUGAUCUUACAGGUUAUGACUCAGGUUCGAUCUGCACUUGACGUGUGGGCGCCGUUAUCACUACCAAAGCAACUAGCACGAGAAAAUUUUUCUCUCAACAAUGGAGAGAAAAAUCUUUUUCUCUGAUUUGUAUAAAGUGGCUUCCCUCCUUUCUUUUGGGAAAAAUAAGCCUUUUAUAUCACCCUUUAGUGAAAACCCUAGGCUCCAAAUAAUCCAAAAAAUAAAACCCACGUUAUUUGCUUUUUCAAUAAGGGACCCACCUUGUAAAAUAACAUAAGGCCCCUUACACAAAAGCUAAUUAAAUGGAGCCUCCCACUAAAUGAUAUAUUUAGGCUUUUGACCCAAAUAGCUAGUUAUCUUACUUAUUAGUCCAGUAGUGGUGCAGUCAAUUAAAUGAGCUAACCCGGGGAUCAUUUGGGAACAUACAAUAGUAGCUACAAUAAUUAGGCCUGUAAUUAAACUAGCCCAAUUAUUUAAUUCCAAAUCUACUCCACUAAAAGAUUGGAACUGACUUCCAUAAUUGUAUGCUCGAAUAAUAAUUCGUCCCAAGCCACAUUGAUUUCUUUACUGCACAAUCCUUUGUACCAAAUCGUUAAUUAAAUUGAUAUCUCAACUGUCCAAUCAAUUUAAUAACAUCUUAUUCCUUGAUCCUUACUGGUUUUCUCUAAUGAUCAUUUUCAACAUACUAAAUAUGUUGACACACUCUGGCCAGAGAAUUCUAUGAUCAAGUGCCGAAAACCCAUCAAGAGAUGUGUUGUACAAAUUCUAUAUUGUUAAUCCAUAACUCCAAUACUCAUAAUUGCUCCCACCAAGAUACCGGGUAAUCUUGACCACAAGGAUGUGUCGUGCCCGUUGGUAACUCAAAUGGAAUAACAAUUACAAUCAUGAAAUCAUAAUUAACUCAAGAUUAAGAUUACAGUAAAAUCAACGCCUAUGAGAUUUAAUAAGUCUGACAGUUAUUACAAAGUUAAUUAAAUCUCAUAUGUGAUCCUGUUCAAUGUAGUCGCACUACAUCAAUAAAUUCAUACAUGAUUAAGACAAAUCAUUCAAUGAAUUUAUUACAGUCUAUACCUAAAUAAAGUGCCCAACUUUAUUUAUCAACUGCGAACCAAAUUUAUUUAAUCAUAAGAUAACUUGUAUUUAUGUCUUCUGUGAAUCCACAUGGUGAUCACAUAAAUACAUAUAAUAUGAUUAAAUGGACUUUAAUACAAAUAUUAAUGCAAUUAAGAUAUUUGAAUAAAAUACCUCAUUUAUUUUAUUAAUCAGAAAAAUUAUUUAUUACAAUUAAAUAAACACAUAUGCUUUUAAAGAGCAUAUUUUCCCAACAUAUACUUCUUCUUGUCCAUUGACUUUGGUUUUGUUAAAGCAGCCUGAGUGCACUAACAAGCGCAUGAGCCUGAAUAGGCUAGUCGUUUUUGUAGGCUGAAUAUCAAGUGCCGAGACCAACUCAGAAAGAGUGAUGGCCCGUCCGUGGCUGUGAAUUAUAUCCGCUAUGCCCAGCUCAAUCGCGCACUUGAGUGACGUCGAGCUUAAAUGACUAAACAUGAGCUUAUAUAGUUGAGCUUGGCCUUGAAACAACUCUUUUGCUCCUUGAUCUUGAUUCGCAUCCAUAGAUACUGAUGAUCAUUUAAAUUAAGCUUGCCUGAUUGAUCACACACUAUAAUGGAGAAGCACAUUAUAUAUAAUGACGCUUGCUCGCAAAUGUGGACUAAGAAGUUGUUUGUUAAAUAUUUGAAGUCUGAAAUUUUAUUAAUUUCAGACUUUUUCUAAAAUAUACUUGUUUUUUUUUUAAACUUAUGUCUGAUUUUUAGACAUUUACAUCUUAAUAGAAAAAGUAAACUUUUGUAACUUUUAUCUAAAUGAAAAAAAAGGUAUGAAUGACAAGUAAAUAUUAUAUUCUAAAAAUAUCUCUGUAAAAUAAUUUAUUUCUUAAACUACAAAAUCUAAUCCUUUUUUUGUUUUAAUUUACAAGGACAUAAAUGUCAAAUAACUAAAUUUAAGAUGUUUUUUAUUGUGAAAAUAAAUAAGAUACCACUUAUAUUUAGAUAUUUAAAAAUGAAAAAAAAAUGUCAUUCAUUUUUUCAUAAUCAAACUCAUUCAGACUUUAGAAAAAUUCAGACCCAUUUAGAUUUCAGAUAAAAAAACAAAUGCUACCUAACUGUAUGCAAGCAUCUUUAACUCCUCAUAUGAAUAUUUGCAAAUGCGAUUAGAUAUAAUCUAACAAGUUACAAUCUAACAACAUUGUUAACUAAAGGAGUAAGAAUUUACCUUCACACGUACUUUUGAUUUGUGGAGAACUUGUGACACGUGUUGAACUCGAAUCUGGUGUGGUGGGUACCUGAAAAAGGCACUCCGACGCCCAAGUCAGUGUUUGAUUUUAAGGUCUAAUGGAAGCAAGAACAAUAAACAAGAUUAGGGUUUUUUUGGCUUAGGAGAGAUCCACUUUUCUUGGUGAGAUGGUCCCUAUUUAUAGUUGAUGGAUGACAUGGGUCUAGGGUUUUGCCUUGGUCUCUCUCCUUGAUGACACGUGCCACCAACUAUUAUUGCACACGUGGACGUGAACUUGUUCCUAGGGAAAUAAAUAUAUUUAUCCCGGACCCGCCCAUGUGCUUCCCUACUCCUAUGAUCUUGGGCGUGGUUCCCUCAGACCCCGAAAUCUCGGAAUUAGUCAUGGUUCCCUCAGACCCCGGAAUCCCAAAAUUAGAAUGAUUUUUUACUCUUACUUAUUAUCGUAAGUGCUAGGAGAAUUUUGUUCUCGUGUUACUUUAUUCGGAAUAGAUUGGAUAUAAUUUAUUUACUUGUUUGAUUUUUCGGGAUAGUUUCUUUCUUUCUUUUUUAUUUGGACACUUGGCGUAAUUUUUGUGCCUUUAAAUUAUGGUACACACAUUAACUUUGAUUUCGUAAUGAUUUUGUAAUGAUGCAUGCGCAUGAGAAAAGGACAGUAAGAUACAUUUACUGAUCAAUGAUUCAAUAAUUAUAACACCAUGAUUGGCAGGGUGUGAUCUAUAUACAGGCACAUUUUAUGUAUUCAAUGUGCUGGUCAUUUUUUCAAAAUUUUAAGACAUUAAUUUGAGUCAAAAUAAUUGCACUCGGAGCACGGAGGUAGAGUUUUCAAUUAAUUUUAUUUUGUUGGCUAUUCAAAUUUAAAUUUGACAAAAGUUAGAGAGUUAAAAGAUUAAUUUGAAAUCAUUUACCUCUAUCUUUUAAAAAAUAAAAUUCGAAAAGGUGGCAGAGAUUUUUCACAUCAAUAUUUUACCAUUUAUUCAUCGGUUGGCUGACAAUACCAAUGUAUAAGAAAAAAAGAUAGUAAAAAAUAGUAUGCCAUCACUAAAAAAAAUAAAAAGUUUCGUUACAAGAAAAGAAUUCACCACAGCACAAGAUUUUAUUUUAUUUUAUGCUUUUGUAUUAAAUUUUGUGCUAUUUUAAAUACAUGCAGCAUUAUUCAUUCACUAAACGCAUAUAAAAUUUCCAAAUUAACCAUCUUUAUUAAAAUUUAUCUUUAAAUUCUUUCUACCGCCAACACUUAGCCAGCACUGUUCUUAUUGCAAACUAUAGCGUAUCUUUUGACAGCUUCAAAAAGAUAAGAAAAGAUAAGAAAUUUAUAGCUUGUGCCCACCAAAAUCUCUUAGUCCAUGGAGUUGUUGAAAUUUUGACUUGAGUAGAAAAGACAAAGUUAGGUUUUGAAAGCAUGAAAAAGGUUUUGAAAAUCUUGUUCAUGCAAUUCGGUGUUGUUGAAAAUUGAAGGGUGAUGUUGAAAAUUGAAGAUGGCAACAAAUUACACAUGCAAUUGUUGACAAAUAUGCAUGACUUUAACGCAUGCAAUGCAAGUUCCAGCUCAACGUUUUGGCCAAUUGAACCCAACUUGGUGCAAAAUGCUCUCUAUAAAUAUAGAAGCAUUUUGCAAUUGUAAGCAUCCCAAUUUGAGAGAAGUAGAGAGAAAUUGCAAGUGAAGCGAUUUAAGAGAUUUGAGAGAGCUUCAACUUGAGUGUUCCAGUGAGGUUCCAUUUGAGUGUAUUGGGGUUUGGGGUGUUGAGAGUUUCUCCCACUUUUGUAAAUUCCUAUUAUUAGUAAAAUUAUUUUCCAGUGUUUGGCCAUGGACAUAGGCCUUACGCCGAACCACGUAAAUUAUUGUGUCCUAUUUUCUUUGCAUUUGUUUACGCUACAUUUAUAUUUCUCCAAAAGUCGCAGCUACCAGAAUAUUAGUAAUUGCUCAACCCCACAUUUCCGUAACAGGAGUUAAUACUGAACACGUAGAAUUUUUUUCAUUAAAUUUUGUGCUAUUUUAAAUUUGCAGCCUUUUUCAUUCACUAAACGUAUAUCAAAAUUUCCAAAUUAGGCAUUUUCAUUAAAAUUUAUGUCUAAGUUCUUUCUACCAACAAAACUCAACCUACAUUGUUCUUAUUGCAAACUAUAGUCUAUCUUUUGAUAGCUUCAAAAUGAUAAGUGUUGAUAUCCGUACAUAUUCAACAUACAGUUAAUAGGAUAUCCAAAAACAUACAUUUUGAUACUUGAAUGCGGAAGCAGAUCACAAUAAGGUAUAUCACUGUCAAGUUGAUGAGAGACAAAGGAUAAUUUCAAAGAAAACCAUCACGCUAUUGUAUGUUUAUGGUCGGAGGAUAAUUAUAAUAAAACAAAAUCCCCUCAUAUCACAUUGCCAGAGCCCACUGCCAUUUUCUCUCGUUUUCAAUCCCUGUGUUUUCUAAUAUCUUCUUCAUAUUUUUCAUUCUUUCACACCCUUAUCACAUGACACGGCUUGCCCCGACCUAUAUGUCAAAUCCGAGGCGAAUCAUACGAUCUAAUAACUAAAACUCGCGGCACAAAUUUAAUUCAUGAAUAUAUAAAAAUGGUCUCCACUAUAAACACAUAACAACCUCUAUACCUCAUCCGAAAAUAUAUAUUCAAAACGUACACAGUUCAUAUCUCACUAUAUAUACUUACCCUACAAAUAUAUAUACAUAAAAACAUAAGUAACAUAAACGUGCUAAAAAUGCAAGUCAUGCGGCAAUACGUCUCGUGGCCCAACUUUAAUUGACUCGAAUUGAUCAGCGCGAAAUCUUGCGAAAUCCUGGCUGAAAAGGGAUAAAUAGGAAAAUAAUGAGCUUGUGGCUAUAUAUAUAUAUAUAUAUAUAUAUAUAUAUAUAUAUAUAUAUAUAUAUAUAUGUUUCAGUCAUGAAUUUUAAAGUACCUGAAAGUACGGGAAAUCUUUAAAACCGCAUGGUUUUAAAGGCAUAAAACUGUAGGUCUUUAAAGCCAUGUGAUUUUAACGCUUUUCCGGACUUUCCCGUACUUUAAAAUCCCUGACCAAAACACUACUUUAUAUAUAUAUAUAUAUAUAUAUAUAUGUAUGUAUGUAUGUAUAUAUAUGUAUAUGUAUGUAUAUAUAUGUACAGUCGUUCUCUCACGCGGACACCAGCAACUUCAAAAAAAUGUGGGUGCUCACCUUUCGGCCAUUGGAUCCCAUCAACGGCUGGAUUAAAUUGUGAAAGUAAAAGCAAUUCCGACAUUUUCUCUUGUGUAGACCCCUCUUCAAAACUUUGGAAAAAAAGUUAUUUCUUUUAUUUAAUGGGGACCAUGAUAACUAGUUUUUAAUUUCUCUCUCUUCUCCCAACUCUAUCGUCCCACACCCAAGAAGCCAAAUCGUUGGAUCAUCUUCAUCAUCAACAGCGACGUGGCCGGAGAUGACGUGUCCAACAUGUUACUCUUCUAAUAUUCCUUAGAUGUGGCUUAAAUGCCUCAUUUUGCUCUUCUUUCAUGAACUUUGAAAUUUCUUAAGAAUGUCCUGGCCUGUGUUUUUUCUUCUUCAAUUUCCGUAAUUUUUUUUUUUGAGAAAAUCUUCUGUUAUAGAUACCUUUCAGCUUGAUUAUUUAGAUGGGUCGUUAAUUUUUUUUUUUUUUUUGGGUAACUUACUGAAGUGUGUUUUUCUUCUUUUGCUUCAUCUUCUUCGAUCGGAAGGAUAAUUUUGAUGAUGGAAAGAUGGAGAAGCAAAAAUGGUGAUGAUGAUAACUGUAUAUUUAUCUUUGAAAAUUGAAAAAUAAAAAUCAGCAAGUUUUAGUUUUGGGGGAGAAAAAAAGGAAAGGAAUUAAAAAAAUCUACAUUCAAUUUUCAUAUGUGCGUGAGUGAGAGUACUGCCAAAUCUCCUUAGAUGGAGAUAGGAGAAGAGAAAAACAAAAAAAUUUUAAGUUACCAAUCAAACUUCACCAGUGGGGUCAUAAACUCAGCUUCUAUGGGCAGUAUCUAAAUUUUAAGUUAACAGCACUGACGAUAUUAUUCGAGAAGUGGUGGUCCUGCUCUAGUUCUGGUUCAUGGUUUCGGAGCAAACAGGUCUAGAUCGUUGAUAUUUCGCUUCUCAUUAGCAGACAACUAAUUGCUAUAGGUAUUAAUUGCGGAUUGCUCUUUGGUGUGGGAAGAUGGAGUUGGGAGAAGAGAGAGAAAUUAAAAACUAGUAUAUCAUGGUCCCCAUUAAAUGGGAAACCUGUGGUGCAACUGUGGUACCGUGCCAUAGUUGCAUCCAACUGUUGAAUGUCAGUGAACCCCAGCAAUUCAAGUGCAUCCAACGGCUAAAUGCAACUGUGGCACGAUACCACAGUUGCACCGUAGCCUGAUCCCCAUUAAAUAAAAGAAAUAAUUUUUUUUCCAAAGUUUUGAAGACAGACCCACACAAGAGAAAAUGUCGAAGUUGCUUUUAUUUUCACAAUUUAAUCCAGCCGUUGAUGGGAUCCAACGGCCGAAAUGUGAGCACCCGCAUUUUUUUGAAGUUGCGGGUGUCCGCGUGAGAGAACGACUAUAUAUAUAUAUAUAAUAAUAAUAAUAAUAAUAAUAAUAAUAAUAAUAAUAAUAAUAAAAGAAGUAAUGCAUCUGUAAACAUGGGAAAUAAUACAUACAUGACAAAACUGCACCUAAUAAUACCCAAGGAAAUAACUCUCAAUAUUUACUGGGAUCAUCAUCGCAUGAGUAGAGUCGGGCAAAAACCUCUCAAAACCCGAUGGAAUUUAACUACAUUGCAAGGGUAGAGUAACCUAACUCUCAAUAUGCAUGCACAUAGUUUAUAAAAGCAAGUCAUAUUUUAUGACUUAAUCAAAUAUAUAAUAUUUGUACAUGUAAUCAUAACAUUAUAUUAAAUCAUACUACUAAACAUAAAUGUUUCAUGAAACACAUAAUAGUAAUAAUAGUAUCCCCACAGAGCUUGUUUCACUCCGGGUUCGUUGGGGGCUCGUGUGGGUUCUUAGAUUCUUGGAUUUCUCCUAAAAUAUAGGAUUAAAAAUUAACUGCUAGAACUAAUAUAAAAACUUGUAUGUAUAAGGCAAAUUAAAUCACAACUACUUAAAUUUCAUAAAUAUAUUACCCACUAACUCACUUAAUGUAGAUCUAACUAUCUAAUUCUAUUUCCCCUAAUAUUUUUUCUCCUUUUCCUUUCUUUUUCUCUUUUCCCACAUUCAGCUUCUUUCUUAUUUUUCUUAUUUUCCUUUUCUUCUCUUUUCUCUUUUCCACUUUCUUAUUUCUCUUCCAUUUUCCUUUGUUUGCUCUCAUUUCUCAAAUUUGGUAAAUGAAGCAAUUGUAAAAAAAAAAAUUUCAUUUUGUAUAGCCACCGAAUGGCCAUCGAAUGUAAGCAAGCAGCUCUCAAUUUUUAAAUAUAUAUAAGCAUAGCUUGAAGAAAUCAAGCAUAUAGCUGGCUGCUUCGGAAUCAUUGCACGUGUGCAGAAUCAUAGUCAUCUAUUUUAGAUACAAUAGGUAAUUAGGUAUGUUUAUAUGGGAGCUAAUAAGAGUGAUUGAAGUCAAUCAAAAGACUUCAUAACUCUCAAAGCUAAUUAGACUUGCAAUAGUCAUAUUAAACUCUAUAUAAAAUAAGCUUUUACAUGUUUCUUUUCUUGGGCCUAUCUAGCCCAUCAUGGCAUCAAUUCGAAUAUCUCCCACUUGCAUGUGAUGGGAUAACACCAUAGACAGAGAAUUGAAAGUAAGUUACCCCGAAGCCUUAAAUGUAUCUCUUGGUCCUCCGAAAAGCAACCUACAGUAUCUAGACCCAAUGGAGAGGUUGAAUAUAAGGCACUUGCUUUGACAGCAACUGAGCUAACAUGGAUCACAUAUCUCUUUCCUGAAAUAAGGAUUUCUCUUGCUCAACGUCCUCAAUUGCUUAGUGAUAAUUUAAGUGCUUUAUACAUGACUAUUAAUCUUGUCUUCCAUUCUCGCUUCAAGCAUAUAGAGGCUGAUUAUCACUUUCUUCGAGAAAAGGUUGCAGAAGGUCUGAUGGUGAAAAAAUUAGUCCCUUCGAUGGUGACAAAACUAGUUCCUUCUUCCUUGGAAAUUGUCGAUGUAUUCACCGCUCUCUCGAAAGUCAUGUUUGGCAAUUUCUGACAGAACCGUAGAAUCCAUAUCGUAUGUCACUUGCCAACUUGAAGGGGACUAAUAAGCAAGCUGUAAAUGGUCAACAAAAGAAAAUUCACCAACGGUUAAAACACACAGCAUAGCUUGCACAAGUCAAGGCUAUCAUUGAAUUUCACUAUCAAGAAUUUAGAAUAUCAUGUAUCUUUAAAAAGGAAGUAUUUCAUUACAUAUUUUGUAGUUUAGGAAACCAGAUUAUGUACUCCAGCUGUAUUUCUGUAGUUAUGUAAUUAAAUCUCUUAUAGCUAGCUAUUUCAUUAUGUACAUAACUUUUGUAAAUUCACACUUUGUAAACAAUCAAAGUCAGAAUACGAGUUAUUAUUAUUAUUUUUUCAAUAAUACGAGUUGUAUUAUUUGCGAGUGCUAAUUAUCUAAACCCCUCCCUUGUGUUCCAAGCCAAUUCCUUAUCCACAAAUGUCAAUUCUAAAGCGAAGGUACUAAGUUCUUUUUCAGGACUUAUUUUCACCAAAAAAAAACCUGAACUCGGUUUUCUUGGAAACAUCUCUAUCAGUAGAAAUGAUACCUCUAAUGGAUUAAUAAUCAUCAGACGAUACUUUUCAGGGAUAUCAUAAUGUUAAUCUUGCUAGUAAUUUAUUUAUCGUUGAUUUAAUUGGUCAAUGCAUCAACACCUAAGCUGAGCUGGACAUAGUUUCUAAAUAUCAGCCAUCGGAGACACUGAGACUAUAUGCAAAUGCAUAUUUUAUUAUAGUUGAAACCCAGAUGACUUUGUCUCAGAAUAAAAAUUUGAACGAUACCUCCAUUAUUGUGGCAGUAAUUACUUCAUAUGCAUUUAGGAGUUGUUGUAAGUAGUUGAGUGCUUCAGUGAACUUUAAAAUCCAACCUCAAAUUCACCCACUUAAGGCUCAUGCAUCUUGAUCAUAAUUCCAGCCGCAUACCCAACAACAUUCCAAAUCAUACGUAACAACCCACCAUCUUCCAACAGCGCUCUAAAUCCAGCGAUAUACACAACAACACUCUGACCUAUACCCAGCAACCCAAUCUACACCAAAAUCAAUCAAAAUACCUAAUAUUAUCAAAUGCAUAACAUCUAUACUGCAAUCCUUAACAACAACCAUUAUAGUUUAACACUACAACUUUAAUUUCAACAAAUUGUAACAACUAAUAACAAGGUCCAUCUACAGUUUCAUACUCAUACUAACUAUUUUGCAAAUGCGAUAAGGAUGUGGAAAAAAUGGUUAGCCCAUUCCAAAAGAACCUCACUAAGUUCAUCCUGAGUGUAUUCCUUCUUUGCAUUAAAGUGUUAAUCACAAGAUUAAUAUUGUCAAACUUCAAAAAUAAUGCCACAGAUAUUGUAUAAAAGCAAGUUGAGACAUAUACUAGUCAAGAAUUUUUAAAAUCAUCCUGCUUUCAUGCUUUUGUUCUUCAGGCUUGAAUUGUACAAAAUCCUGCAUAACUCCUUCCAAUUUCUUAGUUUUUAUCCCGAGAGCGACCAAAAUGUGCAUUUGCUCACCUAAACUUCCAGCCUCAACAUAAACUUUUUUCACUUUAGUCUAGUAACACUUGCCAAAUUUAUCAAACUCAUCAUCAAGCCUCCUAAAAAAAUACUGCUGUUAUUCCCCUCUUUUCUCCACAAUCCUAAAAAAUGUUUUCAAAACAAAAUAGUCCAAAAAAUUGCUAGGAGCUGUUUUGACUUUAGAACACAGGAAAAAGCCCCUAAAAAUCUACAAAGGCUGUCUUGCUGUCGUUCUAUAGUGAAAAUAGCCCCAGCAAUUUACCAAGGGCUGUUUUUACUGUAGAAAAGCCAACAAAAAAAAAAAAAAACCCCUAUAAACUUUCAUCAGCUAUUUUGACAACAAAUCUAUAGCAAAAUUGCUAAAGUUUGCACUAAAUUCUCAAUUGAUACUUUUAGAAGAAUUAGAAAAGAAAAUAAUGUUAUCUAUGAUAGACACCAUUGUCGAAGUCAUAGCAAAUAGCCUGCAGAUUAGUAAUAAUAAUAGCAUUUACAUCAGUUUAUUAAAUUGCUUUUAUUUUUAUUUUUUUCACAGAUAAGUAAAUAAAAUAAAUAAUUAAUUUGCAUAUAUGUGAAUUAUCUAACUAACAAAGAAAUGUAGGCUAAAAUAACUAUAUGCAUUAAAGAAAAAGAAAUUAUCCAGAAUUAGAAACAUUACCUUUCCCAUAAUAAUUAGUUCCCUUGGCAGAGUGAAUACAUUUUUUUUUUUUUUGCAAGAGAUAAAUACUUCACAGGUCCAUGGAAGCCUAGAAUCUAUCAAUGAAAUUACAACUUCUAACAAGAGAGUUGGUAGCAUGUUCGAUUCUUUUUAAAUCACUAAAAGUUUAUUUUUAAAUUCCUUUUUGUCCAAUAAAUAAUCGGAUAAGCAGCAUUGAAUUGCAAUUCAACUUUCAGAAAAAUCUGCAUCAUAAAAGGCUGGAAAAGUUAUAAGAUGCAAAGUUUCUUAUAUUAUGGCACAUUAUUUCUCAGUAACUGACUCCUACCUAUUUCAUGAUUAUUAAUAUUAUUAUUUAUUGGGUUGAUCACUUGAUUGUUGGGUCAUCCAUGUGUAUACAGUUGCAAUCUCUAGAAUCUCAGGGAAGCCACUAGUAAUAAUUAAGUCAAUAGAGUGAAUAAUUAAGCAAAUGAACUUAAGAAAAAAAAGAGUAGGUUGAUCAAUUGAAUUACCUAAUGGCUUCGUGUCCGAAAAUCACAGGCAAAUGUAAUUUAGGUGGCUAAAAAAACAUAAUGAUCAUAAUGUGAUCAAAUGAAAAGACAAGUUAGAGUUCAUUUUUGUAAGUAAACCUUAUAUUGAGAGUUAACAGAUUUAAAUUUAGUUAAUUAGUUAAAUUACCUAGGUUAAUGAUUUCUAGAAUGCAACAUCACUGUGGUAGAAGGAUGUGAUAGAAUCUUGAUCCAAACCUCACAAGCCACCACCAACAACAUAUUACUUGUCAUUACCUGUAUCUAUCUGCUUACCUCUCUCUUCUAGCCGCUUCACUUUCGCUGGAAUUGAAGCCAAGAAUCAACACCAGCUCUUUCAUAAUUUUCGAUCAAACUCUCGUGAAUUGAAGAGAACCACUAGGAAGACAUCGACUCUGUGGCCUCUUGGUGGGAUUUGAAAGUCAACUCUUUUACUUAGGUUAAUAGGCUGUGAAUGUAGGAAGAUUAUUUAAUCGUGAGUGAGGGUUUGAGCUUCUAGGGUUUCAAUUUCUUUGGUUUGGAGAGGUGUACUUUUUGUAGCAUUUUGAUAAAACUCACAGUUCAAUUCCUUCAUUUACUUUUUCAUAUAAUUUAAAUUAUCAAUGAAAUUAUAAUACACUUUUUUUCUUUUUCUUUUAAUAAAAUAUUAAAUCAAAAUUUUGGUCAAACAUGGUCAAAUUUAUAUUUUUAUCACAAUUUCUUGAUAGAAAAAAAUUCUAUCACUAUUCUAUCAUAAAUUCUUUAUAGACAAUAAUUCUAUCACAAAACCAUCAUCGAUUUAUGACAGACCAAAAUUCUAUCACGAUUCGUUCAUACUAUAAUGAUAUAAGACAAUUUGCCCAAAAUACGUCACAAAUUGUCAGUCAUCUAUCCUCUUCUUAUGUGGUGGGAAAAUUUGCCCACCAAAUGUAGAAUUCAUGGAUUUCAAACAAUCACAACGCAUGAACUAUAUGCAGACACACGCGUAAUGUACCAACAUGGAAAAGAUCAACACAUCAACUCAAUCCAGCAUCAACAAGGAAAGUAACAAACCUUUGGAAACAAAUAUGGCAAUUUGUAUUGCUCUUACCAAAGGCUUGCAAUGGAAUCAUCUCACAUAAUCCCGUGACAUGCAGACUCACCAAAAAAUGGAUAGCCAACUACCAUGCAAGUCUAGAUUUUCUUCAUAACAUAACCAACGGCUAGUGAAUGUCCAAAUAUUUCUUCCAUAUAUAAUUCCUCAACUCCUGUAUAAAUACAUAAUCCUUCUUGUACAUUAAGAAAAUACAUCAAAAGCAUUCAGUCAUUCAUAAUGUUAGGAAAGGGACCCACACAAAUAGUUGCAAAUAAAGUAAAAACAAACUAUUUUCCUCUUUGUGUGAUUAAAAGUUGAUGUGUACUACGAAUUAAUACACAAAAAAAAACCAACACAAUUCAAAGCAAUAAAUCAACCGCAACACACAUAUUUUUACAAAGAAAACCCAAAUCGGGAAAUAUUAUAGGAUUGUGGUUUGAUAUAACCUCCCACUAUAUAAAUAAUGGGACUAGAACAUAAAUUCUUCUCUAGAUAACACUUGAGGUUAACAACAUCAAGAAUCUUAAUAAUCUUGACUUACAACAACACUCUAAUAUAUGUCUCUCUUAUAAAUAGUGUAUGAAUAUUUUUUCUUUAGAACAAAAUAGAUUUAUUUAUAUUAACCAUUGUUUCUCUAAUGGUUGGGAAUUGGCAGCUAAUUUUUUCUCCCUUUUCGAUGUAUGCAGAUUUGCUCAAUGUGUUUGAAGUGUUUAUUCCUCAACUUCACUUGUAUCAUAACCCAUUCAGUCUAUUGAAUGGAGAAGCUGCUAGUGUGAUAAUGCAAUUAUACUACUCAUAUUCAAAGAGUGAAAGAUAGUCAUCAUUCUCAAUUUAACUUCUAGAUUUAUUAAAUUUAGCCACAAGUAGUAGGCAUUUGAUUGGAUGGUAAAAUUUUUUGAUGUAUUGAAUUUGGAUUAUUUAGUUAUGAGAGUAGGAUAUCUCAUAUUUUGGCUAUUGAAGUUCAAUUUGUAAUAUAUACUAAUAAUAUUUAAAUGUGAAAUGAAAGAUUUUGUGAUAUAAAUCAAUUUAUUUUUGUUAUUUUGUGGUGCUUUUAAUUUUACAAAUAAAUCAAUAGGCAAUUAUCCAAUUUAAUUUUUUAUUUAUUUUUAAAUAAAUUAACUAGUGAUACCAUGGUAAUCAUAGACACUAAUAAAAUAUCAAUAACUACUAACACUAUGGUGUCAUAAUAUCGGUGAUACUGUAGUAAUAGUAAUCACUGACACCACUUACAAGUGUCACUAUUUUUCUGACUCCCAGAUUACUGACACAAUUAACAAGUGUCAGUGAAAGUAAUUUCUGACACUAUUCUAAAGUCAGUAAAGACCAUUUUUCUAGUAGUGCUUCAAUAACAACCUUCGUGGAAGAGGAAAUUUUCCCUUUAACAGUGGGCAUAACAACAUUAAUCAAUCUUUCAACAUGAAUCAAUUACCCUCUAACAACUCUUUGUUGUAGCUAAAGUUCAACAAUAAUGGUCCAAUCUGCCACCUACACCAAAACAUUACUACACAGAAAGUGAUAAGUGGAAACAUAAUUCUAAAUUAGGUAUAAUACGUAAAAUUUAUGGCAAGCCUAACCAUAAUGCUACUGCUUAUAAACAAAGGUACUACUACUUUACUCUUUAAAAGGUAGUACCACAAGCCCUUGUGGCCAUGAAUCCGCAUGAUGAGAACGACCCACAACUUUAUCCUGCUUUAGGUGAUACAAUGCAUGGGAAAUCAAACUUCAAAAUUUUUUUUGCUUGUUUUCAAACUUAAAGAGAACCUCUUGUUAGUCAACAAACUUAUAGAUGAUAUAAAUUGUUCAGUGGAAUUUCACUCUUUUGACUUUGUUGUAGAAAAUAAAGAGAACCUCUAUCAUUUUCCAACAAGACCUUUAACAAUCUGGAAUCAUCAAACAUACUUCAUGUCUUUAUACUCCUUAACAAAAUAGAGCUGCUGAAAGGAAACAUAGACAUAUAAUAAAGACUACCUUUACAAUGUCAUCUGAAUCUUUGUUACUAUUUGAGCAUUUGAUAGAGGUUGUUUCAACAAUCGCAUAUCUCAUAGAUAAAAUGCCACAAAGGAUUAUUAAGAUGCAAAUGCCUCAUGAGUUACUUUUCAAGGAAACUCCUAUUUAUAAUAAAAUUAGAAUUUUUAGUUGUCUCUUUAAAUGACUACAACAAAAUCAAAUUUGACAAAAAGACUCUUCCUUGUAUUUUUGUAGGUUAUAGCCCCACUCACAAGGGACACAGCUGUCUUUUUCUUAAAAACAAUUGAAUUUAUAUCUCUCGUCAUUUAAUCCUUGGUGAGUUAUGUUUCCCUUAUCAAAACUAAAAGAUUAUUCUCCUAUGUAAAAUGCUUGUAGGGUUCCCAUUACCUUAGAUGUGCCACAAUGGCUCCUAAAAACUUUAACAGAGUCGUUCAAUAACAAUUCUCUUGGGCACACUAAAGUUAAUAAUCUAAAACACACUACCACACCUUCAAAUAGGAAUGAAUCAUUAUUUCGCACUCCAAGUCUUUUGGACAAAACUGUGAUAAUUGAAAACCUUCAUAAACCUCCCACCUCUUGACUUGGACAUCCCAUUAUAAAUUCACCUCAAAAGAGCUCCUCAUCUAAUAACACAGACUUCUAAUGAUAAUACAAACAUAAACAUGACUUCACAAUGAACUUAAAAAAAAGUGACAACCAUAACUCAUGUGCCUUGAACAAUCUCUUAGGAAAGUUAUUUGUUGAACUAAACAUAUCUCCUGCCAAAACAAUAGAGUCUUUCCUAUAUUAACAAUCAACAAGCUCAAACAAGAUCUUGUCUUUGUCCUUUAAACCAAUCAUGCUACUAUAAUUGAACCAAACCUCAUCUAUGGUUGCAAGCGAUAGCCGAUGAACUUGCUGCCUUCUAUCAAAAUAAGACAUAGACCUUAGUUCCUUUACCUGAUGCUAAUUUAGUUAGUUCAAAGCGGGUUUAUAAAACCAAACAUCGAGAAGAUUGAUACAGUGGAUCGGUUAAAAGCCCUUUUAUUCAUAAAGGGAUAUACACAAGUUAUUGGCAUUGACUUCGACAAGACUUUCGGCCCUGUCAUUAAGCCAACUACUAUACAACUUGUCUUAGCCCUCGUAAUUAGUUCCAAAUGGCUUAUCAAACAACUAGAUAUUCAAAAUGCCUUCUUACAUAGUCAAGUAAAAGGAAACUGCCAACAUGGACCGGCCACCCAGCUUUAUGAAUCAAAAUCUACCUGACCAUGUUUGCUUGCUUCACAAGCCCUUAUAUUGACUCAAACAAACCUCAAAUGCUUAGUUUGAGUGUUUAUCAUUAGCAUUUUUAGGUCUUGGAUUUAUAAUUUACAAAGCUGAUUUUCCCUCUUUAUUUUUUAUGCUAACAAUAUUAUGAUUUGCUUUUGGUUUAUGUUGAUGAUGUAAUUAUCACAAGAAAUAAUCUCGAAAGAAUUCAAUCCAUUAUCAACCAACUCAGAACUCUGUUUGUAUUAAAAGACUUAAGCUUAUUGAGCUACUUUUUAGGAAUUGAAAUUUGGUGCUUUACAAGGGAUAUUUUUUAUCCUAAGCCAAAUACAUGCAUGACUUGUUAACCAAGUCUGCUUUACCUAAUUGUAUCCUUAAUCAGACCCUUAUGGUUGUCAAAAGCUAACCAUAAGAUGAUGAUUAAAAACCCAUAUGUGCCACAAAUUACCAUACCUUUGUGGGCAACCUACAAUAUCUCAUAUUCACUAGGCUAGACGUUAUUCAUGUUGUCAAGAAAGCUUGUUAACACUUCCAAAGCCCUACUAAACAAGACCUUAAAGUUGUUACAAAAAUCCUACGCUAUCUCAAAGGCACUCUCAACUUCGGACUUCGAUUUCUUUGAGCAAAACUCUAAUCAAUCAAAGCUUUUUCGAACUCUAAUUGCAUUGGUUGCUUUGAAAUAAUUUUUGGCAAAUUAAGGGCUUGGGCCAAGCUUGAACUGAGCCUUUUAAAGCCUAGGCCCAGGCCCAACUUGUUGAGAAUAAGCUCAUGCCAUUCAAAAGCCCAUCCAAACUUAGACUGGGCAAGCUUGGGCCUUCAUUAUUUUUUAAAUAAAUUUUUAAUAAAGUAAAAAAUUUAAAUUAAAGAUAAUUAUUCUAUGCAUAAUAGAAUAAUAGUCAAAUAUUUAAAAUAUUAGAAACACAACAAAAUAGAUAAUAAAUGCUUAUUAAUAUAAUAUUUGAGUUUUUAAUUUGAUAUUUUUUAUUCAUAAAUUAAAAAGUCCGGGCUUGAUAUUAGUAACACAACAUACUAAAUCACAAAUACUAAUACGGGUGGGUAUAAACCCACAAUUCAUGGGUUUACCAAACCCAAACCAAAUUAAAUGGUUUGAGUUGGGUAAAUUAUGAAAAUGGGUUAAAUGUGGGUUUUAUAUAAAAAAUCAUUUCAUUAUGGGUUGGGUAUGGUUUACCCAUGGGUCAUGAACAAAACCCCAACACUCAAACUUGUCAAAUGAAAUAAAUGAAAACAAAAACAAAUAAGUGAAAGGUUAUUGUUAAAUUGUUCACAUCGUGAUCAAUUAUUAACAGUUAGAAAAGGAAAACAACAUGUAAAAAUAAAUCUGAAUUAAAUAAAUGCUAUUGUAAAUAAUUAAAUGAGAUGAAAUUAGUGUUUGAUGAAAUGAAAUCAUUUUUUUUUUAAUUUAUGAACUCAUAUUAUACUUACUUAAUUACCGCUUUUAUGUUUCUAACAAUAAUAAGAAAAACACCAAAUCUAUAUUGUUGUUUUCGUAUUUAAAUUAAGGAAAAUUAUAGUAAUAAUGUUGAGAUGGUUUUUGAGGGCAUAGUUUCCUAGCCCAUUGGAAGGAAAUAAUUAAUAAUUAUGAGAAAUAAUAUUUCGCCACUGAUAAAAUAUUAUUGUGACAGAAAUUAUGAAUCCUUAUUAUAAAUAAAAUUAACAUUUGUGUGCUAUAUUGAUAUUGUACUGCUGAACACAAUUUAUAUACAUAUUUUACCGUUUAUUAUCUAAUUACUAGUUAUUUUUAUUUGUUAUUUUUAAUUAAUUGAAUUAUUUUAUUGCAUAGGGAAUUAAUUGGAGAUUGGAAAUAAAAAGUGCAAAAAGAAUAACAAUUUGGGAGAAUAUUAGUAGAAGCCGUGACAGAGUUAAGAGCCAAGAGCAAUUUGCAUUGAAUUUCAAUUCUCCAAUUGAGUUGCACGUGCAUGGCAUUGCAAAAGUGGAAAGCAAUUUAAAUGGGGCCCACACUUGACUUUCAAAAGUGGAAUUAAUGGCUUAUGGUGGCGUUAUUAUGGAAGCUUUGUUUUAUAAUUGGAAAAGGAUUUUAAUUGGUAUACAAAGAGGAUUCGGUGGCUAAGCAUUAUAAAAAGAGAGUUUUGGCUUUAGAAUAGGGGGGAGCCGCCAGAGGACAAAAACAAAAGUGCAGAGCUGCAGACACAAGACGCAAGGCUGGGUAGCAGCAGCAGUUCGGCUUCCAUGAGUGAUUUUAUUUAUUUUGUUGCUCCCAAUUCAAGUAUGUCUAGCUAAUUUUCUUAUACUGAGGUUAAGAAUGAAACCCUAUUCAAUGAAAUAAUUAUCUUUUUAUUUAUUUAAUUCCCUAUAUAUAUUCUUUAAUAAUUAUGGUUUUUAUUUCACAUGAUUAAUUGAAUGUUAUUAAAAUCUUUUCAUCAAUUCUGUCAUGCAUUAUUGAUUGUUAGGAUUAAUAUUUGAUUAAAUCUAUGCUUGGAUUUAUAAAGUUUAUACAUGAUUAUCUUUGAUUCUAUGUCUUUCGUUAAAUUGUUUACAUAGAGUGCUUAGGAAACUUUGACUCUUUGUUAUUCAAUAUGUUUACAUGGGAUGCUUAGAUGUCAUACUAUUAAGCAGAAAAAGAACCUACAUUAGAUUUAACUACUUGGGUUUAAUUGUUAUAUCCAUAAGAUGACAUAGAUUGAUUUCGAGUUUGGAAGAGUUUUGAUCACAUUUAUGAGUCAUUUUAUAGCGAUCCCCGUAAUGUUCUAUUGGGCUUAGCUACUGAUGGCCUCAAUCCUUUUGAAAAUAUGAAUUUUGGAUACAGCUGUUGGCUUGUUCUUUUAUUUCCAUACAAUCUUCCACAUUGGAUGUGUAUGAAAGAGCCGUAUAUGUUCAUGUCUUUCCUUAUCCCAGGCCCAAAAGGCCCAGGUAAUGAUAUUGAUGUGUACUUGAGGCCAUUAAUUGAUGAGUUGAAUGAGUUGUGUGAAAAUGGAGUGAAUACUUAUGAUGUUUCCACACGUUUAAAUUUUCAAUUGAAAGCGGUUGUUAUGUGGACAAUUAAUGACUUUCCUGCAUAUGAUCUUACAUCUGGUUGAAUCACAAAAGGAAAGUUGGCUUGCCCAUGUUGUGCUAAGAAGACUGCUCAUUGUAGAUUAUAUCACAAUUCAAAAAUAUAUUAUAUGAGGCAUCAUCGAUUUUUGCCACUGGGACAUAAGUGGAGAUUUCGAAAGAGCCAAUUUGAUGGUAUGAUACAAAAGAAAGCUACACCGAAAAGACCAUCUAGUGAGCAAGGGCAAGGGCUAAAUGAACUUGAAAGUUUAAGGCCAAUAAUAUUUGGUAAAAUAGGGAAAAAGCAAGUCAUUCGUGGGUUUGAAAAGCACAAGAAUUAGAAAAAACAUAGUAUUUUUUUUUUCAGUUACCAUACUGGAAACACUUUUGUUGUGUCAUAAUUUAGAUGUCAUGCACAUUGAAAAAAAACGUGUGCGAUGAUAUACUUGGCACACUUUAUAAUAUUGAUGGCAAAACAAAAGAUAACCUAAAUGCUCUCCUUGAUAUAGAAUCCUUGAAUAUAAAGCAUGAGCUUCACCCAAAAUAUGAUGAUGGAAAGCCUAUUUUGCCCAUUGCUUCUUGUAGUUUGACAAAUGAAAAGAGAUAAAGAUUGUGUGAGUGGCUUAUGAAUGUGCAAGUUCCAGAUGGAUACUCAGCUAAUUUGUUAAGAUGUCUGAAUAUACUCGUGCAUAAAAUUCUGUGCAUGAAGACUCAUGACCGUCAUGUGUUCUCAGAGAUAUUAUUGUCUCUUACAAUGCGAGAGGUUUUACCUAAAGAAAAUUGUGAUGCUUUGAUAGAAGUUAGCACAUUUUUUAGAGAAUCAUGUGCUAAGGUUUUGAAAAAAUAAGAUUUGGUUAGGCUUGAAAAACAAAUAAGCUUAACACUUUGCAAAUUAGAAAAAAUAUUCCCUAUUUUCCUUUUGCAAAUUAAAAAUGGUAACUUAUUAUGACCCUGUACAGUGCAUGCUGCAUUAUUUUUUUAUCAUGUAGGUUUUGUAACUAUUAUUAAUCUAACCGUUUCUGCCAUUUGUGUUUGUUUGAAAUAUUUUUGUUGAAUGUUUAAUUGGCUUCUAAUGAUGCUUUAUUCUUUAAAAUUCUUGUAAGAAUUUGAAGAUAAGGUUUGAUAGAAUGGUUAAAAAUGGAAAGUUUCGAACUAUAAACAAAAAGAAGUCUCUAGCUACUAACGAAGGGAAAAAGACAAAUGAAAAUUACAAGAUCAAAUGACAUAGUUGCUAGCAAAGGAAAGUCUCAAGCUGGCACACAUAACAGGGAUACUGAAUUAGCUCUAUAAUUGGUGGUGAAGCUUUAUGUUUUACUACAAUAGAUGAAGGUAUUAACUUAAUGUUUAAUGCACAAUUAAAUUUAAAUUAAUGGUUAAUUUGUAUCUUAUUUGAUUUUUUACCAGUUUCAAGUAGCAAAAAGAAAAAAAAUGGUUGAGGAAAGGCCAAAGCAGUUUCUGUAAUAUAUGCACUUUGAUUUUUCCUAAUUAAGUGUAUGAUUUAAUUUUUCCUCGUCGAUAUUAAUUUUAAAAUUGUCACAAUAUUAAAUCGAGAUAAAUUGAGCAUAAUUAAAAAACUCGGGUAGUCAGAUUUUAUUUUCGUCACAGGUCCGGUAUUAGCUUAAUUUGUAUUAAGCUUAAGUGCAAAAAAAAAAAAAAAAAAGCCAGUUUCUAUAAAUGGAAAGUAGGAAGCUGGUUUCCAAAAAAGGAAAGAGAGAGGGGCACGUGAGAGAGAGAGAGAAUUGAUCCGGUUUGACCCGCGAAUCCAACCCGACCCGCGACCUUGACCGGACGUAUUUCACGAUUCCGGCCACCUCACCGGCCGAGCUUGGUACCGAUCUGAAGCUUGGAAGUCGGCCGUCAUAACCCAGCCGUCCUCGUUGCCGGAAAACGACUGGAACGCCGCCGUUUGAAGCUCGAAAAUUCACGGCCAAAAACCGUCACCAUCGCCGUCGAUUUCGCCGGAGUUUGGGUACACCUCCAGCUGGGUUCUACUCCUCACGUUACAAGCAUCAAUUUCCGACCAACCUUGUCACCUGAAACGGCCGGAUUGUCGACGAUCGGGCACUUGGAAAGCUCGCGGCUUUGGGAGCACGAUCCGCCGCCAUCGCCGCACGUGGGAGCUCACCGCCGACACCGUUGGACUCACCGAGGUCUGAACUAUCAGACCUAAGCUUCCCGUCGUCGUUGACUGAAGUCCGGUGACCGUUGACCGGCAGGGGCAAUUCGGUAAAUUCAUAAUACUUUAGGGUGAAUUUGUAAUUUAUGGAAUCAGUGGAUAAUUUGGUAAUUUUAGGUUAGGGCAGUGAGGUAAUUUGAGAUUUUGAGGGUAAUUCGGUAAUUUAAGUCGUUAAGGACAUUUUGGUAAUUUUACGCUCCGAGGGUAAUUUCGUAAUUUCUGACAUUGUGGUAAUUUCGUGAUCUGAAUUGAGGACCAUUUAGUAAUUGAAGAUUCUGAGGAUAAUUUUGGUAAAAUAAUGAUGUUGGGGGCAUUUUGGUAAUUUUGGCAUGUAGGGGUAUUUCGGUAAUUUUGUGCAUGCGGGAAUAAUUUAUUGUUGAUAGAUAUUGUUUUCGAGAAUUAUUAUGUAAAAUUAGUUGUAUUUCAAAUUUAUAGAGAAUGAUUAUGUUGUUUCCUUGAUUAGGAGGAUCCGCGAACGACAAUCAACCCGCAGACGUUGUUGAUAUCGAGUCUGGACUUCGUCACUAUGAGGGGAAUAUACAAAACCUAUUUUCAUAGUAUAUGCUGAUUUUAUGAUACAUUGCAGUAUGUUUUGAUAAAUAAGUAUUCGAUGUUUCGAUUUAAUGAUUUUCUAGAAAAUUGAUUUUUAUAUAUGUGUUGAUAUUUAUUGUUAUUAAGAAUGAGUUUGAUUAAUGAUUUUGUUAUCGUUUUCAGUAAAUGCGUGAUAUUAGAAUUGAGUGGAUUUGAGAUAUGUUGAAUAAAAAGAAAAUGAGAUUUCAGAUGUGAUUAUAUGUUUAUGUACAUGUGUAUAAAAUGUUGUUUGGAAAAUCAUUGGAUAGUACCCUUGCCCUCCAGAUACAGAGAUACAGAUAAUAUGAGAUGAAUACAGAGAUACAGAUGCGAUGAGAUAGAGGUCUUUGGGGCCCGUCUGAAUACACAUAGAGGCUUUGGGCCGUGUGUUUGGGUGCUUUUACCUUUUGGGGGCUUAUGCAUACAGUAUGAUGAUUACAGAGAUACAGAUGUUAAGAUACAUGAGAUAUGAGAUGAGAUUUCCCCAUCUAUCCAUUGUAGCUCCGGGGCAUGAUGGUUUCCUGAUUGCCCGUCCGUCGAGGUCUGGAUAUGAUGAGAUCAUUCCCCUGGGUACUAGUUUGAUGAUAGUUUUUGGUAUUCAGUAUUUGAUAUUAUAAGUAUUAUGAUUUCAUUGAUUUUAUGCAGAUUUAUGUAAUAUAGUUAUUUCAGUGACUAAUUUGAAUUGAAUAUGUUUAUAUAAGUUCUUAUAAUAUUUUGAUGAAAUUGAUUUGAGAAAGAUUAAAUCAUUUUAAAUAAAUUUAUUUUUCAAAAAUUACUAUCCAUUCACUGAGCUUACUGAGUUUUAUACUCAUCGUAUUUUUAUUAUAUUUUCCCUCCACAGGAGAUUUGCAGGUACAUCAGUCGACCCAGCAAUGAUAGUUAGAUUUGAAAUUGUGGCCACGUGAUGGUGUUAGGAGUCGUAGAUUUAAUAUUUUGAUAAUUGGGAUAUUGCGAAUUGUAUUUAUUUGUUAUAUUUUGUAAUUAAGGAUAACCAUUAUAUUUUACUAUUAGAAUGAUUUGGGUGGUAUUUGGUAUGUUGACUUGAGAAGUUGGUUAUGAAGGAUUGAUGUAUAUUGAAUUAUUUUGGGAGUAUUGUUUUGUAAAUUGCAGGCUUGGGGAUGUUUUAUUUAUAAGGGAGAUUCUGUCGAAUUUUUGAUAGAAUUCUUAGAUAUCAUAAUUAUUAUCGAUUUGAUUAUACGAGUUUAGAUAGACUCGCCCUGGGGGUGCGGGACGGGUCGUUUCAGUUGUUCAAGGACAUGUUAUGACUUUAGAGAUAUAUGAUGGUAGGUAAAAUGGUUGACAAAUGGAUGGAUGAGGGGUGGAAAGUACUAAUAAUGACUAUUAGCAUAAUACUUUUAUGUCAUUUUCUUUCUUAAGCUUCGCUAUUCUUUUAAUUUAUCAGUGAAUUAUAGUUGCUAGAAUCAUUAUAGGAAUAAGAAACUUAUAAAUAUUGUCUAUGUACUUUAUACAUGAGUUGUUCUUGAUGGGUGUUGUCCACAUUUUAUUGUACUCGUAAGGGCACGAAUCUAUUGUAAAUAGAUUUUGUGUUCGGUCCCACGAGAAUGUAGAUUUAAUUAUGCAUAGGGUUAAUUUUCUAGGUGUAUAUGUGAGUUGGUUGGGAGUGAAUUUUUUUAUCUUAAGAUUUAAAAUAAAAUGGCAGGAAUGAAUUAAAGAUGAAAAUAAUGCAAAUGAAAAGCUUGAGUCUCUAAAUUCAUACUUAACAUUUCACCAUAGGCUUAAUAUUUAUGUUUUUAGUUCCAAUUAAUUCAUGAAGGGUGUAUUCCAAUUCCUCAUAAUUCUCACUCUAAUAAAUAUGACAUCAAGCGCUUAGUGUGCAAGGGGUAAUGAUCUUCCACUAAGUGUGGUGUCAAAAACACGCUGUGCCAGAUGAUAAUAAUCAACAACAUGGCAAGAUCAUCCACUAAAUAGUUUAGAUACACUCUCUGUCAAUACUGAGUCAAGACGACCCAUAAAAUACUAUAGGAAAAUUUUCUCUCUAAUUAAUAUGAUGUUAAGUGCUCAUUGUGCCAGACAGUAACGAUCCUUCACUAGGGAGCAGGUAUACUGUGCAAAAUCUAGACAGGAUGCACUGUCUGUCGACAAUGAGUCAAAACAACCACAUAAAUCAGAGAGAAAAAGAAAAUAAACUUACCUAAGCCCAUGGAUCAUGUUUAGCCUUCACCUUCAACCCAAGCUUGAAAUAAACUAGCCACUUAUAAUUGAACAAGGAGUAAAAUGAUAAUUUUAUUAAAAUAUGUAGAAAAUACAAGAUGGAGAGAGAAUUAUAGAAAAUGGAGCUCGAAAAUGGAUUCAAGGGUGUCAAAAUAGGCAGAUGAACCCUCUUUUUAUAAAUACAUAGGUAAAUCAUGGCCAUCAGAUGAAAAUAAUUCAUACGCUCAGGAUUGCGCCAUAUAGCAAGCUUUGAUUGGUUGGUACACAUUAUUAGUCAACACCACAUCAACAUUUCGGUCCCAUAAGAUGCUGCCACAUCAUCAGUCAAUACCACAUCAGUAUUUUGGUCCAAUAACAUCCUGCCACAUCAUUGGUCAAUGCCACAUCAUCGGUCAAUGCCACAUCAUCAUAUCGUAUAUGUGAAACAUUGUUGUACUUGUGAAUAUUACCUAAUAUGUGAACAGUGCCGUAUGCCGAAUAUCUAUUUAUGCUCCUCCUAAGGUUUUCAACCAUUAUGAGUUCAAAAAUGCCAUCAGUUUUGCUGUCUGACUUUUCGUUAGUCAUAAAAUGGCCAAAAUAUCUCUGAAAUAUAUAAAAUACUUAAAUUAUAAUAAAACACACAUAAUAAAAGCUUAGAGGAUUUAAACAUGUAAAAGUGAAAAUGUUAGUGAGACUUGGAGCAUAAAAUGAUAAUUUUACCCUCUAUAAAUAUGAAUUCUCUAGUACUCAACAAUGGGUUCAUAAUAACCAAGUUGAUUUUAUGCUUUUUUUAAAAUUAUAUAUAAAAAACAAGCACAACGAGCAAGAGGAAUUGAACCAAGUCCAAACUUAUUCAUACUACAAGUUCGUCCCAAUGGCCAAGCAUAGAACAGAAAUGGGAAGAGAACAUGUUUGACUUUGAUCAUAAAAGAAGUGUGUUUAUUUAUUAUGAUCUUAUUGAAUUUCAAUUCUUUAUUGCAGUAACAAAUAGGUACUUAACUUAGUCCACUUGAUUUAUUCAAGAUGUUUCAUGUAAGGGGACAUGGGCAAGCAACAAGGCAAAGGAAAUGCAUGUGUGUUUUUGAUAUUAAAUUUUCAUAAUAUUCCUGAUUUAUUUGCAUGAUUUCAUUACUAUAUGCACUAACACAAAUGUUUGUAUUUAUUAUAGGAAACAAUGGAAUCAAUGAGAUCCACUGUUAUAGAUCAAGGCUUGCUAGUGGAUGAAUGGAAAAUAUCUCGAGAAGUGACAAAAGAAGCAGCACAUGGUCGUGUUGUUGGUUAGGGAGCAGGCAUCAAAGGCAAGGAUAUGUAUGGUUCUCCAAGUUAAGGAGGUAACAAGCAUCAAUGUAGUAAUUUGAAAGUAAAAGUAAAAGACUUAGAGAAAGAAAUCAAGAAGUUGAAAAGAAUGAUAAAACUUGUUCUUGGAAAGUCUGCACAAGAAUCAUCUCAGAAGGUAAAAGUUGUUUAUUUCAUUUUAUUAAUAGAUUAAGUGAAUGAAGUGUUCUAUAUUUUGAGUUCUCAUGAAAAAUGAUUGGUGACUUGUCAUUGCUCUAUUAGUUGAUGAACUUAAGUAAUUAUGGACAAGCUUCUAAUAUAGGUGAAUGAUGGAAUAAUUAUUAGAUUUUUUAAAAUGGAGACUAUGCAUCGAUAAAAAGUUGUUUUUAUUGCACUAUUUUUCUCAUUAGUCUCGGCUUCUUGAUUAUAUUUUAUACAAGUUCUUGUUUUGGUAAUAAUAAUGCUUAAAAUUCCUUUUUUCACAUAGGACAUUGUUUUGACGGGAGAAUAUGAUGAUGGGUAUGAGGAUGUUGAAGUUGAGCAAAUGAUUCAGAAACUGAAGUUAUUUAGAGGAUGAUUGAACAUAUUUAAGAUAUGGUGAUAUCAUUUUGUAUAUACUUUGGUAUAUUUUUUUCUUUAAAAGAUACUAUAAAAUUGAUAUUUUUGUUGCAUUUUUGAAUGAUGAAUGUGAUUUUAUGAAUUUUUGAAAUUAAUGAAGUUACAUUUAGUAUAUUUCGUAUAUUAUUAUUAUGUUUGUUACAUUACUUGCCUAAUAUAGAUAUUUCAACAAUAAAAAUAAAAAAAUUAAUGAAAUAAGUCUAUUUCCGACAGUGUAUCUUUUAUUUCUAAGGGCAUGUUGCAGUUGAAUAUAAAAAUAACUAGGUUUAUUUUAUCUUAUUUCGGAGGGCAUUUAAUUCCAUUUCCAACGGCAACAUCCUUGGAAAUAUUUUUUUUCUCCGACGACUCAUCAGAAACUCAACAUUUCCGAUAAGACUUAAUACGACAACGAUCGACGGCAUGUCCCGCUUGAAAAUGAGUUUUUCCGAGAGUCUUUUUAUAUUUCCAAGGGUACUUGCCCUCGAAAAUGUCCCAUUUUUUGAUAGUGUACGGCUAGCUAGUCAAUGUCUAGGUUUAGAAUGAUUCCCAUUAUUUCUGCAAAAUAUGUCUUCCAUAUAACAAUCAAGUUUCUUAAUAUAGAAAUUAAAACAACACCAACAUAGUACCAAACAAAAAAAAAAUCAUAUGCUUCAAAGACAAUAAAAUACACAAAUGAUACGAAGCGAAGCAAGGUAAAUGAUAAUAUGUCCAAUGAAAUUUCUUUAUGAUGGAGUUUUUUUUGUUUUUCCUUUCCCAAGUUGAGGUCAUGGACAUCAGGAUAUCAUUGUCAAAUGAAAUUUAAGCUUUUUUUUGGGGGGGGGGGGGGGGGGGGGUGGAGAACGUGGCUCUUUUCUUUUCUUUUCGUUUUCUCAUGGCAAUUAAUUAGUUUGCUCAUGUGGAAUUACGCAUGAUUGGCGUUGAAAUUGAAUAUAAAAAUAACUAGGUUUAUCUUAUCUUAUUUCGGAGGGCAUUUAAUUCCAUAUCCGACGACAACAUCCUCGGAAAUAUUUGUUUUUUCUCCAACGACUCAUCAAAAACUCAACAUUUCCGAUAAGACUUAAUACGACGACGAUCGACGGCAUGUCCUGCUUGAAAAUGAGUUUUUCCGAGAGUCUUUGUUUAUUUCCAAGGGUACUUGCCUCGGAAAUGUUCCAUUUUCUUGUAGUGUACGGCUAGCUAGUCAAUGUCUAGGUUUAGAAUGAAUCCCAUUAUUUCUACAAAAUAUGUCUUCCAUAUAACAAUCACGUUUCUUAAUAUAGAAAUUAAAACAACACCAACGUAGUACCAAACAAAAAAAAUCAUAUGCUUCAAAGACAAUAAAAUACACAAAUGAUACGAAGCGAAGCAAGAUAAAUGAUAAUAUGUCAAAUGAAAUUUCUAUACGAUGGAGUUUUUUUUUUGUUUUUCCUUUCCCAAGUUGAGGUCAUGGAUAUCAGGAUAUCAUUGUCAAAUGAAAUUUAUGCUUUUUUUGGGGGGGGGGGGGGGAGAACGUGGCUGUUAUUGUCAAAUUAAAUUUUAUGCACCUUUCUUUUCUUUUCCUUUUCUCAUGGCAAUUAACUAGUUUGCUCAUGUGGAAUUACACAUCAUUGGCGUUGAAAUUGACUUUUAGAUACCUCCUUCCAACUUUUUUCAUUUCAAUUAUUGAUAUAUUUUUUCAGCUUUCUUUUGAAACUUUCUGAAAUCUGAAUGUAUUGGGAAAAACAUUUAAUCAAUCUGAAAGCUCAUAUUAUUUCGGUUUCGGAUUGCUCGGAAUAAAUCAUAGUGCAUAUAUUCAGGUCGCUUGAAAUUUAGGGUGAAAAUGAAAUUUAUUUGAAAUUUCAUCAGAUAUCCUUAUCAAAAUAUUUUGUUACACCAACUCUUCAGUUAAAUUUUACAAUAUUAUAUAUUUAAAUGCCCACAAUACAAUUUAUCAUUAAAGAGAAGAUAAUACACACUAAAAUAUUAUGUGAUAUGCAUGGUAUGUAACAUGUUUUUCAUGAAGUGAUUCACAAUUUUUCAUAAAUAUUACGUUAGUUAAUUAAACUAUACCAUCAUUCACUUAAUGAAUAUCGUAUCAUUUGAGAUAAAAUUUCAAGAUGCCUAACACUACUCUUUGUAUAAUCACACUGCACUUUUAAUAGGGUGAAUUCCAAUAAAGUCUUUGUUAUCCUUCAAAUUUACAAAUGAGCUAGCAGUUAACAUAAUCAAUCAAUUACAUCUUUCUUUAAGUGUUUUUUUCUUUCCCCCAUCUCUAGAUCCAUUGACCACCUUGGAUACUAGCUUGCAUUAAUAGAAAAUUAAUUCAACUUUUUGAACCUUGUAAUAUAAAAGGACCAAAUUGACGGUAUGGAGGAUUUCCCAGCAUCGCUACCUUGAGAGUUCUCAGGUCUGGUCCAAGUCCACGUGCCAAUUGCCACUGUUUAUCAACGUCUUCCACUGGUUUCUUGAUGGCAGCCAAAUAAUCACAAAUAGAUUUGAAUUUCUUUUGUAUACUGAUCUACAAUCAAGCAAGCCAACUUUCUUAAGAGGUUCACUAGUGGCAAACUUUUUUUCAUUGAAACAUAAUAACCAUGCAUGUCUGUGAUUCUCAAGAUUGGCUGUGGUACCAUAAAAAAAAGUUUCAUUGACGAAUUGUUGGAUACAUAUACAAUAUGGGGCAUAGAGUUUUGCUCAAGAUUCUUGGCUUCCACCUAGUUAAAUUAAAAGAAACGGAUAGAGGACUAACAGCUAGUGAUUAAUUCAAGGCUUUCAUUAUUCUUGCUUGUUAUGUAAGGUUGAUUGUGCUAUUUGAUCCUCAGUUUUAAUUAGCCUCACUUGAUUGAGUUGACUUGGAUAUUAUACUGCAUAUUAAUUGAAGAUUUUCUUAAUAACAUAGUGGAAAUGUGAUCAAGAUAGAUAAAACCCUCGCAUAAAAUAAGGAUUUUAAUGAUAAAAAAUUAUUAAACCCGUGACAUAAUCUUUCUAAUAGUAAACUGGAAAAGUGAAUCCAUGCACCCCCAAAUAAAAGUCCAAUUAUAAAUUCUGCUUGAAAAAAUUAAAAUACUAAAUAAAAUAAGUAAACUUCAAUUUUGUCUUACAUCAAACAAUCUUAGAUGAUGAUGUUUCUGAUUGGCUUAGAAGAAUCGUGGGGAUGUUAUACUUUUGAAAUAUUAACUUUUAAUAGUAAUAUUACUCAUCAAUUUGAAUAGGUUAUUUUUACUUUUUUAAUUUUUUACUAAUUAUUAUUAUUUUUUACUUACAUUGCAAAUAUAAAUUUUGAAUCAUUUAUCAUUAAUGUACAACCUAAUUGAAAAUAUCCAAAGUAACAAUAUAAAUUAUUUUGCAGUUGUUUUGAGAACACAAUAACUUAAGAAAUAUCGUAAUUUUAUUAGUAAAGAUAAAACAUAAGAGCAGAUGCUGGAAACAAUAACAAAAUGCAAUAUAACAUAGUACACACAAAUCCUUUAUUCUUAAUAUAUUAAAGGGUGGUCUAGGAUAUUUAAGUUUCCAUCCCAAAAGACUAUAGCAUUUUAAUUGAGUGACUCAUCCUAUAUUUAAACCCGUGUGUCACCUCAUUUUCUAGUCAUUUCGAGACAUUUCAACUACUACGUACACUUAAAUCUUGAACGAUAUUUUGCUAUUCCAUCAAGCAGUACAAGAGACUUGCGGGAAUACGGUUGCUCAAUUCUUUAUGGAUAGACUUCAAUGAGGGACCUCAUGCCAAAUAUAGGUGUUAUUUUGUAGUGACUGAAACCAGCAUCGAAGAAUAGCUUUGCCCAUUCACUUUCAGUUCUCUCUUUCCCAGUAGAGUUAACGCUCAGCACAAUGUCAAGCAAGAACUUUGUUUCGGUUAAUUCGUGUUCGUCUUCCUCUGCAUUGAUAACGAUAUCUAUUAUUAUUACCUUUCCUCUCUCACCAUUGCUUGCAAUUGCUUCUCUGCGUUUCUUCAGUAUCUUCAACCCAUCCUCAUCACCUAAUCCAUGAAAAACCAACUGCAAGCAUGCCAAUCACUCAUUUAAUCAAUACCCACCACUUAUAGUGCAGUUCCGUUGUUUGAUCUAACAUUUUAGAUAAAAUAUAGGAUACUUUUUCUUUUUAAUAAAAUCCCAACAGUUCGUGCGUGUGUCUAUCUAUCCAUCUAUCUAUAUACAUACACAAAUCACACUUUUUAGAAUGGAGAUUCGUUGUUUUAAAUAUUGUAAAAUAAUUUUAUAGUGUUGUAGAUAAAACGUUUUAUUACUCCGCCUAUAAACACACACACAUAUAUACAUAUACAUAUAAGUUAUGAAAAAAUAAGUUUCAAUGUUAUACAAGCCUUUACCAAUAUGGUAAACUUCGAAUCUACACUUGAAAAAAUGCGGGCAACCGCACUAUAAAAUGACUACGUAAAUGGUCAUGCUCAAGCCUAAACUUCUAGAUUCUGUAAAAUCCAAAUGUUAAUUAAAUUUAGAGUUGUAUAGCAUUUUGCAGUUACUUUAAAUCUGAUUUGAAUCAUUCAAAUCCUGAUUUUGUAAGAUCGAACGUCCGGAUAUAUGUGCUGCGCACAGAACAAUUGAAAUAAAUCAUCUGGUAUUCACGAAAACGGUUAAGAAGUUGUUUUAAAUUUUUAAAAUUGGAUCUUACCUUGAAGAGAAAGGUAUCUGCCGGAGGGAUAAACUGAAACAUGUCACCUGCUAUGUAUUUAAAGUUGUCGGCCUCAGGCAAGUUAGCAACAACAUGCGGGAGGUCGAGUACAGUGCAUUUGAUGCCAGGGAAUGCUUCAGAGAUGAUUCUGGAUAACGAUCCGUUGCCACCUCCUACGUCAACCAAUGUGCCCAACCCUUCAAAGAUUUGCUUACACUCGGCUUUGACAACAAAGCUUGUCAUUAUUUCAGUGUCACUGGCCAUUGCUUCAUUGAACCGCUGGUUUAUUCCAGGGUUUUGAUUCAUAAAUUCCCAGAACUUGAUUCCAUGAACAGUUUCCCACAACGUGCUCAGUCCCUUUGAACCAACUACUUAAAGACUGAAAUGGAGCGACAAAAAGUGGGUCAACAAAUGCUGAAACAGUUGGUGACAUGCUGUAGGGCUUGUCUUUGAUGAGCAGAGUAGAAGCAGCUGUGAGCCCGUAUACUUCUUCUUGUCCAUUGACUUUGGUUUUGUUAAAGCAGCCUGAGUGCACUAACAAGCGCAUGAGCCUGAAUAGGCUAGUCGUUUUUGUAGGCUGAAUAUCAAGUGCCGAGACCAACUCAGAAAGAGUGAUGGCCCGUCCGUGGCUGUGAAUUAUA